UUUUUUUUUUUUUUUUGCGGGUUGCGGGGCGGGGGAUGGGGCGGGGGUAUACUUCCCGCCCCCCGCCCCGUUUCUAAGCGGGGGGAAAAAAUUCCCCCCGCCCCAACCCCGCCCCGUGAGUCCCCCGCAGGGCGGGCACCCGCGGGCACCCGCCCCCAUUGCCAUCCCUACCCCCAACUAAUGGUUGUCCUUAUCUUUUUUCGUUUGAAACUAUUUCUUGGUUUAUGUUCUCCUUGUUGAUUCAAAAAUUUUGGUACUAAUUUUGAGAAGGUUUGGACUCAAUUUGACAGUAAACUUUGGAAGUUGUGCCACCUUGGGUCUUUGCUUGCUUGAUGGCUCUUCAGUCAUUUUCGAAUAGAUUCAGUCUCAGUUAUGUAUUCACCCAAAAAAUGAAAAACUCAAGUCUAAUGAAGUAUUUUACUGACAAAAGCCAAUUGAUGGUGGCGGAAGGGGUGAUGCCAGGUGGCAGUGAUGGUGCUUGGCCAACCAUCAUGCUGAGAUACCUCUUUUGCAAACUAGAUAUAUUUUAGGGACUGGAUUGUAAUUAAUUUUUUGAUUGUCAAAGUAUUUGGGGCAUAAUAUUGAUUUAAAACAAUCUGUACGAUUCUUUAAAAUUGAUUAACAGUGCCAAUUCUCGAGUGACAAAUUUGCUAAAACUCGUUCUUCUUAUAGAUUUUCAUUCUUGCAAUUCCUGUAGGGCCAUAUCACGAUUUUUGACUAUUGUUUUUAGGAUCAAUUUUUUAUACACUGACAAUGUAUAUACUUUUACUAUUUGAUGCAUGACAUAUAAUUUGAAUUUAAAUUUAAAACCCAAGUUUUACAUAUGUGUCAUGUAUCCAACCAUGAUAAUAUAUAUACUGUCAGUAUAUAUAAAAAUUAAUUCUUGUUUUUAAUCUUCACCCAAUAAUUUUAUUUUGCCCGAUAAGGUUUGAUCUAAUGUCCUUUUUUUGUUAUGAAACAACUAAAAGUGCGGAUGGCCAUUUGUAUUCUCAAAAGGAAUAAUUCAUAAUUCAUUGAUUCCAAGAGGAUUAAUUCAUAAUUCAUUGCUAAAUUAUGUAAAGGAAUUACAUUGGAUGAACAGUUUCAAUCCAUAAGAGCUAUUCAUGUAUUGGAUGAACCGUUUCAUAUAGCUAUUCAUGUUCUUGUAGUAAUGAGUGUUUAAUAGAAUUGAUGUACCUUUAAUUUUGUAAUACCUAUAUAUAGAGGUACCUUGACACCUCUUGGGGUACUUUUUGAUUAGUUGGAAUAAUAAAAAAACCAUUCUCCAUUUCUCUAUUUUUUUUCUCUACUAUUUCAAUUCCUAUUAUAGUAGUCCAUUUUAUUAAUUUUACAAUACGUUAUCAGCACGAGUCUCUAAUUUUGAGCAAAAAGAUGAAAACAGAGUCUCUACCUUUAGUAAAAGUGAAACAGGAGAUUUUGUUGAAAUUCUGCCUGUGUUUUUUUAGCAACUUCUGUCUACUUUUUGAGGUAAAAUUUCUAACCCACAAACUUAUUUUAAUUCCUUAUGGCCAAUCUUACAAAAUAAGAGUUUGUACCUCUUGAUAUUUCUGAAAAAAAAAAAUUAUUUGUCAUGGGUAUUGGAUAUUGAAAUUCAUCUUGAGGCAAUGGGUCUUGGUAAUACUAUUGUUGAAAACAAUAAAUCUUCCAAGCAAUACCGUGCCAAGGCUAUGAUUUUCCUUCGUCAUCAUUUAGAUGAAAAUUAAAAAUAGAGUAUCUUACUGUCAAAGAUCUUCUUGUCCUUUGGAGAGAUUUGAAAGAAAGAUUCGAUCACGUGAAAUUGGUCGUUCUUCCCAAAGCCCGAUAUGAUUGGCAUCAUUUACGGCUACAAGAUUUUAAAUCUGUCAACGAAUAUAAUUCAGCCAUGUUCAGAAUUAUUUCUCAAUUAUCAUUAUGUGGUGAAAAAAUCACUAAUAAAGAUAUGUUAGAUAAAACAUUUUCUACUUUUUAUGUCUCUAACAUACUCCUGCAGCAGCAAUAUCGAGAGAAGGGAUUCCAAAAGUAUUCUGAACUUAUUACAUGUCUUCUCUUAGCUAAACAAAAUAAUGAAUUAUUGCUGAAAAAUCAUGAGUCCGACCACUGGUGCAAGUCCAUUCCCUGAAACGAAUGCGACUCAAUUUCAAAAUUCUGGUCAAUGUCAUGGAUGUGGCCGUAGAGGUGCCCGUGGAGGUGAUCAUGGUAGAUUUGUAUCUUGUGAAAAUUAUAACCGUGGCAAACAACAAAAAUUUUCCAAAAGAAGGAUAAUAACUACGAUAAAAAAAAUGAAGCAAAGAAAGUUUAUGAAGAAAAAUGCUACCAGUGUGAUAUGGAAGGUCAUUGGUCCCGUACUUGUCGUACGCCUGAUCAUCUUGUUGCCCUCUAUGAAGCAUCAUUGAAAAAGAAAGACAAAGGUAUUGAGGCAAAUUUCAUUGAUCAAAAAAAUGAUUAUGAUGAUACUAAUGAUGCUGAUAUGACACACCUCGAUGUAGCUAAUUUCUUUAAGCAUCCUGAAGAUGUCAACAAAUACCUUAUGAUUAUUUAGAUAUUUUAUAAUACUUUAUAUUUUUCAUGUAAUUUUCUUCUAUUCAAUAUUUAUUUUUGCAUCUUUAUUAAUAUUUAUUUUUGUUUGAAAUUUUCUUCCUAAAGAAGAAAUGUAUACCAAAUAUUUGGAAUUAAAUAAUGGUGAUGAUGACAUUUGUCUCAUUGAUAGUACUCUAUGCAUACUAUAUUGAAAAAUAAAAAAUAUUUUUCUUGUUUGAAAAUGGGAGAAACAAAUGUUAAUACCAUAAGUGGUAGUGCAAAAUUAAUUGAAGGCUCCGGAAGAGCCAUCUCUCUAAAUGGAUUAAAAUUGUCAUAAAUAAUGCACUACUCUCUCCCAAGUCUCGGGGAAAUUUAUUAAGUUGAAAGAUAUCCGAAAAAUGGAUAUCAUAACGAGACAAUGACUAAGACAAAUGGAGAAUUUUUAUUAAUCACAAGUAUCAUUUUUUGGUAGAAAUGUAUAGUAGAAAAAUUACCUUCUCUUUCUUCUGGCUUAUAUUAUGCACAAAUUAGUGCAGUUGAAAUUUAUCACCCAAUAGACCAGAAGUCUACUCAUCCCAAUGAUUUUAUGAUUUGGCAUGAUCGUCUCGAUUAUCCUGGAUCUAUAAUGAUGAGACGAAUAAUCAAGAAUUCACAUGGUCACUCAUUGAAAAAUCAAAAGAUAUUAAAAGCAAAUGAAUUCUCCUGUGUUGCUUGUUCCUAAGGAAAAUUAAUUAUUAAACCAUCACCAGUUAAAGUUGGGACUGAAUCCUCUAUAUUUCUAGAACGAAUUCAUGGUGAUAUAUGUAGACCUGUAGAUCCACCAUGUGGAUUAUUUCGAUAUUUUAUGGUGCCAAUUGAUGCAUCAACUAGAUGGUCACAUGUAUGUUUAUUAUCUACUUGCAACCUAGCAUUUGCGAAAUUGCUUGCUCAAAUACUUAAGCUGCAAGCACAAUUUUCAGAUUAUCCAAUAAAGAAAAUUCGUCUAGAUAAUGCUGGCGAAUAUUCAUCACAUACUUUGACGAUUAUUGUAUAUCCAUUGGAAUAACUGUUGAAUAUCCUGUAACUUAUGUUCAUACACAAAAUGGUCUAGCCGAAUCAUUUAUUAAACGACUACAAUUAAUUGUUAGACCAUUGUUGAUGAGGUCUAAACUUCAUUCAUCUGCUUGAGAACAUGCUAUAUUACAUGUAACAAACUUGUGAGAAUUAGAUCGAAAAGUUAUCAUACUUAUUCUCUCCUACAAUUAAUUUUUUCAUGAAUCCAAUAUUUCUCAUUUAUGAAUAUUUGGUUGUGCAGUUUAUAUUUCAAUUGCACCGCCCCAACAUCGUAAAUUGGGCCCUCAAAGAAGAUGGGGAUAUAUGUCGGUAUGAAUCACCUUCAAUUAUUAAGUAUAUGGAGCUAUUGACAGGUGAUUUAUUUACUGUGAGAUUUGCAAAUUGUUAUUUUGAUGAAUGACAUUUUCUGACAUUAGGGUGGAUAAAAUUCAACUGAAAAAGGAAAUCACUUGAAAAAUAUCAUUGAAUUUUCUUGAUCCUCGUACUAAAGAAUGUCAACUAGAAUUCAAAAAAUUAUACAUUUGCAAAAAUUACAAAUCAAUUACCGGAUACAUUUAAUGACUCCAAAAGAGUUACUAAAUCACAUAUUCCUGCUGAAAAUGCUCCGAUUAAAAUUAAUGUCCCUGAAAGAUAAAUUAUAAGUGCUAAUGAAUCUAAAGCGCGCCUAAAGCGUGAGAGACCUCUUGUUCCAAAGAUAAAAAUUCUCGAAAGAAAAGAGGAGUAGAUGAAUCACCAAUUAGUGACAAAAUUCAACCUCCUGAAGAGAUCGCUCUUAAAGAGCCAAUUCUUGAAGAGAAUGAAAUUAUAGAAAAUUCAAUAAAUUUGUCACUUCAAGAAAAAGUUGGAACCGAAAAGAAAUAAUUAUUGAUAGUAUUUUUGCAUAUAAUGUAGCACUUGAUAUUAUGGUAGAGGACGAGAAUCACGAGCCUUGAUCUGUUGAUGAAUGUCGACGUAGAAAUGAUUGGCCAAAAUGAAAAGAUGCGAUCCAAUUUGAAUUGAAUUCACUGACUAAAAGAAAAGUUUUUGGACUUGUAGUUCAAACACCUGAAGGUGUUGAACUAGUAGGAUACAAAUGGGUAUUUGUGAGAAAAAGAAAUAAGAAAAAUGAAAUUGUGAUGUAUAAAGCAAGACUUGUAAUCCAAGAAUUUUCACAAAGGUUUGGAUUUGAAUAUGAUGAAACGUAUUUACCUGUAGUGAAAAGAUGCGAUCCAAUUUGAAUUGGAUUCACUGACUAAAAGAAAAGUUUUUGGACUUGUAGUUCAAACACCUGAAGGUGUAAAGCUAGUAGGAUACAAAUGGGUAUUUGUGAGAAAAAGAAAUAAGAAAAAUGAAAUUGUGAUGUAUAAAGCAAGACUUGUAAUCCAAGAAUUUUCACAAAGGUCUGGAUUUGAUUAUGAUGAAACGUAUUUACCUGUAGUGGAUGCCAUCACAUUUAGGUAUCUUGUGAGUUUUGUAGUACAUGAAAAACUAGAUAUGCGUCUAAUGGACGUUGUUAAUGUAUAUUUAUAUGGAAAUCUUAAAAAUAAUAUUUAUAUGUGAAUUUCCAAAGGAUUCAACAUGCCUGAAACAUGCAAAUCAAAUUCUAAAGAUAUUUAUUCUAUUAAAUUACAAAGGUCUUUGUAUGGGUUCAAACAAUCUGGACGUAUGUGGUAUAACCACCUCAAUGAAUGUUUAACUAAAAAGGCUAUAUUAAUGAUCCAAUGUGUCCAUGUAUUUUUAUAAAGAAAAAUGGAUCAAAUUUUGUGAUUAUUGCUGUAUAUGUUGAUGAUCUAAAUCUGAUUGGAACUCCUGCAAAGAUUCAAAAUAGUGUUGAAUAUUUGAAAAAGGAAUUUGAGAUCAAAGAUUUUGGAGAGACAAAAUUCUGCCUUGGUUUACAAAUUGAGUAUUUAAAAGGUUAAAUUUUUGUCCACCAAACUGCUUAUACCCGGAAGGUAUUAAAGCGAUUUUAUAUGGAUAAGGCACAUACAUUAAAUAUCCCAAUGGUCGUCAGAUCACUAGAUCUUAAUAAGGAUCCUUUUAAACCACAAGAGAAAGAUGAAGAGACACUUGGUUCUAAAAUAUCAUAUCUCAAUGCAAUUGAUACACUAAUGUAUCUUGCUAAUUGUACAAGAUCUGAUAUAUCAUUUGCAGUGAAUUUAUUAGCAAGAUUUAGUUCCUCGCCCACAAGACGACAUUGAAAUGGUAUUAAACAUAUUUGUCGCUAUCUCCAAGGAACAAUUGAUUGUGGUUUAUUUUAUUCAAAUAAAUCCAAACCUGAAUUGCUUGGUUAUGCAGAUGCUAGGUAUUUAUCUGACCUGCAUAAAGCAAGAUCUCAAACUGAUUAUCUAUUUACAUAUGGAGUUACAACCAUUUCUUGGUGAUCUACAAAACAAUCAUUAGCCGCUACUUCAUGAUGAAAUAAUAGUAAUUCAUGAGGCCAGUCGAGAAUGUGUUUGGUUAAGAUCAAUGACCCACUACAUCCGAAAGAGUUGUGGGUUAUCCUGUGAAAAAAAAAUCCUCCAACUAUAUUAUAUGAAAAUUCCUUCACUAGGAUUUUUCCCAUUAGAUUUUUCCCUAAUAAAGUUUUAACGAGGCAUAUUCUUUGUAUAAUGAACCUCCAGGGGGAGUGUUAUGAAACAACUAAAAGUGUGGAUGUCCAUUUGUAUUCUCAAGAGGAUUAAUUCAUAAUUCAUUGAUUCCAAGAGAAUUAAUUCAUAAUUCAUUGGUACAUUAUGUAAAGGAAUUACAUUGGAUGAACGGUUUCAAUCCAUAAGAGCUAUUCAUGCAUUGGAUGAGCCGUUUCAUAUGCCUAUUCAUGUUCUUAUAGUAAUAAAUGUUUAAUAGAAUUGAUGUACCUUUAAUUUUGUAAUACCUAUGUAUAGAGGUACCUUGGCACCUCUUGGGGUACUUUUUAAUAAGUUGGAAUAAUAAGAAAAUCAUUCUGCAUUUCUCUACUUCUUUCUCUAAUAUUUCAAUUCCUAUUAUAGUAGUUCAUUUUAUUAGUUUUACAACACUUUUCUCUCUGCUAAGUUUUAGAAUCAGGCAUAUCAGUUCUUUUUUAAUAGGUUUGGUUAAGUAUUUAAUAGUUGACUAGCUUAACUCAUUUUAAAAUGUCUAUCAAGACAAUGUUCAUUUUCCUCACAAGAAUUAGUUUAAGGUUUAUCUGGCACUUCUUGAUUGUACAAAGUUCUCAAUUUUCCCACUUUAGUGGUUUGAGUAGAUUCUGAAUCGUUGACUAGUUUUUUUUUUAUCUGAUGGAAUCGUUGACUAGUUCAAACAACAAAGAUUGAUAAAGAAACUAUUUCAACAAGUUUUAUUUAACUAUAGGGAUAAUUUCAGAAACCUCCCCUAAUGUUUCUAACAAUUUCAUUGAGCUCUCUUGAGGUUUUCAACAUUACACUUAUCUCCCUUGAUGAUAGAUAAUGACUAUAAUAAUGACGAAAGUGGGGUAUGCAUAUAAUAAUUAAUCUCAUUUCACAGUCAAAUUUUAUAUUUAUAAAAUUCUAAAUAUCCCACACGUGAUUUUCUGCAAGUAUAUAGGUCGUGAUUGAAUAUAGGGUAUUAAAGGUCGAAUCCACAAGGAAGAAUGGAUAACUAUCGGUACUACUAAAACUCCUUUAUUAUUUAGACUAUCAACAAAUUAAAAAAAUAAAACUAACCUAAAAUGUGCAGGAAAAUAGCAAAUAAAAACUCUUUAGACUAUGGUAUCCCUAACUAUUCAUACAAGUGCUAUUCCUGGAUCACUUAGUACUACUAUUUUGACUAGUUAUGACACAAUUUCCUCAAGCAUUUUAAAUAUACUCUCGUAGCGAAUCAACUAUACUUAUAACUAAUUUGUGCCUACUCUCGUGGUUAUGAAAUUAGUUACAAGUCAAUUAUCUCAAUAAAAUUAUAUGAAAUGAAUCACUAAAAUCACAUAAGUGCACCUCUACCCUCGUGAGUACACUCCUUAGGUUUAGCACUUCUUGAACUAGUGUUAAAUCCCAAUUUCAUUGAAGAAACAACACCUUUAGAUAAUCACAAUUAAUGGUACCAAGUUAAUCAUGAUUUAGAGGAGCAAAAGUACUAAAUAGUAUCAAAUAGCCGAAAUAUUACCACAAUACAAUUAUAGAAAGUUCAACCAAAACUCAAGGUAUAAACUUUAGAAAUACAUAACAAACAUAAAAUCCAAAACUUGCAUAGUAAUUAAACUUAGAAUCAAUUACAAAAGAUAAAGAGUUGGGAAGGUAGAGUAACCCUUGUCAUUUGAGUUCUCUCCUUGCCUUCUUCAUCUACGUCUUCAUCCUGAUCUAACCAAUAUAUAAGAGUGGAUAACACACAUUUCUACCUAAACUAUACUAUACUACCUAAAACUAAAAAAGAGUAGGAGCUACAUUUUUGUGGUGUAUUCUUGCACCUCUCCAAGCUCUCCAAAAUAAAGACACAAGCUCCUAUUUAUAGAGAAAAUUUCAAAUCAUUCACUUGUAUCUUCAAUGUGAACACAACUCCAAAUAAGUCAACAAUUUUGGCUCCAAGUUAUGUGUCAUCAUUAUAGAAGAAACAAAGUCAUUAAUGGUUGGUAGAAUAUCCCUUUUACAGUUGCAAAUCUUGUACAAUUUGUACCUUAAGAGUUGUGAAAGAAUGGAGUAGAAAACAAGUUACGCAAGUGGAAGCUGUCAAGUUUGACCGGAAUCCCUCUAGGCAAUCCAUCCAAGUUUUGGCCUGAUUCCUUGGAGGGAUUGGUCCCUUGCUUCACCAAAAAUUCUCUGCCCCAAAUCCCUCCAACCAAUCCCUCCAAAAUCUGGCCAGAUUAUUCGGAGGGAUUCGAGUCGACUUUCGUUUUUGACAAGUUUCUUUGUUUUCUUUUUCUAGCGACUCGAACCACUUUUGAAACUCAUCGUCCUUAUGAACUUUAGGACUUUAUUCAUCAUAUUGUAAGUCUAUUUCUUGUCCCAAAAUGAAGUCCAUUUUCAACUCCUACAAAAUUAACCAAAAAUAUACAAGUAAAAGGGACAAAUAUCUCAUUUAAGCAUUGAAUUGCACUUAGAACCAAUUCUUGCAAAUAUUGAACAUUUUCUUCCUAUAAUAUUGAAAAAGUGACUAAAAAUAGAAUAGAAUUUAAUCCAAAUAUAGCACAAAAUAGUCACUUAUCAAAUAACCUUCAUAAUUCUUCAAAAGACAAGCUAUUGAUAAAAAAAGGAAAAGAUAACAGAAAAAAAGAAAACAAUUCUUCUUAACCAGAUCAUAUAUUGUGGCCAAACUAUUUCAGGCAUGGCCAUUAUAUUGUAUCCUUCAAUCACUCAAAUAUGCUAAUCAAGAUAGAUGUCUUAUUCUUUCUAUCACUCAAAUAUCCUACUGCUAUUGAUAAUGAUGGAAGCAAUCACCACUGCCAACAACCCAAUUGUUCAUAUCAUUGAGCACAAAAAAGCUACUGGAUUACGGAAAAGUAUAUUUUGAUAGAUUGUACUAAAAUUAUCACCCCAAACUUGCACUUUGUUGAUGUUUUGCUUGGUUUCUCUUAAUAGAAAUCAAACUUAUUCUGAAUAAAAUUGUGUCAAUUUAGAGAAAAAAAUGUGAGCUGAUUUAAGAUGACUAACCCAAAUGUUGAGAGCAGAGGUUAGAAGAAUUUUGGUAACUGAGGGCUUAGCUGUUUGAGUGGGGAAAAGGUAAAAUUGUGAAUUAAAUGACUAAUGGUUUGGUAGACAAUAUAUGGAAGAAAUCUAUAGAGAGGUAAAGAUCAUGAAGAUAAGAAUUACGAUGGUGGAUUUUGGCAUUUAAGACAAAGAGUUUGUUCAGAAGAAUAAGAAAUUAUAAGAGUUUGAAAGUUUGGGUGGAUGUAGAAAACUAUGGGGAUGGAAAAUAUCAAGACAUUGGUUAAGCAAUAAAACUCAUAAUUUUGGUAGUAUACAAGUGUAUUCUUGACUUUUAAAAAAUUUUAAUGAUUAUUAAUAUUAAGGAAAUUUAGAUGAGGGCAAUUUUGAGCAAUCAUAUACUUUUUUGGUCUUAUAUCAUCAAGAUGAAACCCAAACCUAUGUUCUAGGAGAGAUAAGAGUAAUUUUCAAAACGUGAGAGGAACUGUCUGAAAUUACUAGAAACCUCAAGGGAGGUUUCUGAAAUUAUCCCUUAAGUAUAUUGUGUUCUAACUUACUGUUAUGUGUAUUGUCCUUAAUAUUAUGGGGUCAAUCAAAUUAUUCAAGUUCUAAUGACAAGUUUCAUGAACUGGUUAAACUAUGUAUACUUUAUAUACCUAAAUAAAGGCAUACAAAGCAAUACAUGGGAAUUUCUAUGUAUUUUAACCUUUUUAUCAAACCUUUAAUAUCAAAACCUAUUAUCCUCUCUAUAAUAUCAACUAUACAACAAUAUUAAAUUGACAAAAGCAAAAAAAUUGCUUUUUAUUAAUUUUACUUAAAUGUUUGUCUUAUUUAUAUUGGAUGAUGUGUGUGUGUGUAUGUAUGUAUAUAUAUAUAUAUAUAUAUAUAUAUAAUUUUAGGUUUAUUGGACUAAUGAUGAUUACAUAGUAAUAGCAAUAUUUAAAAUUAGCAAAAUUUGGAUUAAGUUUGUUUAAAUUGUUUGAAUGAUACAUAAUUAAAAGAGGGCUAACUUACCUUAUUUCUAAUCUUAAAGGAGAUAGACAGCCACUAAAUAAAAUCUCAAGGGGCAAAUUAGAAAUUACCAGACCUAAAUUUGGUUUGAAGGAACCAUUUGAGAAUCAAUUUAUGAGUUGAGGAACUUAAUAGAUAUUUUUAAAAAUUGAGACCAAAUACAAUAAUUUUUGGGGACUACUAGGGUUGUUUAUCUAAGGCUGUCAAUCAAGUCUUGUGAGCCAAGUUUUGACAAGUGCAAGUUGAACUCACAGAAAAAAUAACAUUUUUGGUCUUUUGGACUCUAGGCUUGUAAUUUGGGACUCAUACUCGUCUCACAAAGAGAUUAAAAUUGUGGGCCCAGUUCAAAAUGGAUGCAAGCUCACAAUUAACUCCAAAUGUCAUGUAUAAUAUGUGUACAAUGUUAAAUAUUAUUAUCCAAUAACAUAUCGAUUACAAUAUGUGUGAUGAUAACAUAUAUAAUUAUUCAAUAUACACAUCGUUGUACAUAAAUAAUGUAUUUAUUCAUAUAUAUUUUUCGAGCUAGGUUAUGGUUUUGAGCCUAAUGAAACCUAUGCUCAACUCAGAGUUUAAUCGGUCUUAUAUUUAGGUCUAAAUUCAGCCCAGUCUGAUAAUACAUAAUGUUCAAGUCCAAAAUGUUUUGUAUCCAACAAGCUAAACUUGAACCAACCCGAUCUCAUUGAUAGACUUACGUUUAUCAUUUAAUUAAUUUUGGGCCUCAGCAACUAAAGCAAAGGUUAAAAUAAAAGAGAGUACUCAUAAUAGAAAAAGAGAGAAUUUGGCAUAAAAAUAGUACUGAGGAUAUAAAAAUUUUAGGGUUAAUUACAUUUACCUCCCUUAAAAUUUGACCAAAUUAGCAAUCAAAUAUUGAGGUUUGACAAAAUAACAGUCAAACCUUUUGACUGAGAAAUCUUUAUCAAAAGCAUCCCUACCAUCUUGAGUCAUUAGUUUUUUUUUAUUUUUUAAGAGAAGAAAAAGUUUGUCAUUGCAUCAAUUAAGAUGAUCUCGAAUUAUUAGUGAAGCGCGGUACGGUCAGUAAAAAAAUUAGCAUGAUAGUCCCUGAUAAGUGUGUAUUUUACAUGUUUUAAGUGUGUUUUAUCAUUUAGUUUUAGUAUGUUUUAUUUAGUUUUAUAGCUAAUUAAUUAAGUUUCUAGUGAAAAUAUACAUUUUGUGGUUUAAAGUAUCAAAAGUUUCUCUGGAUUUUAACAAUGAAAACUUCAUGUUUUUUUAGGUUUAAUGAUUCAAUCAUCAAAUGGCAUGAAUUAAGAAGAUAAUUCGAUGAUUGAUGAUGGUUUGAAGUGAUAAAAAGAAAAUAUGAAGUACAAGAGAUGAAAUGCAAUUAAGGAAGUUUUAUAGCUUUGACACCUUGUGGUAUUUUGGCUAUAUCUUGAGUUACAAGGAUUAGAUUGAGGUGAUUUUUCUACCAUUGUGAAGUUAAGAGAGAGAUCUACAUUUGAUAUGAAGAUAUUGAAGUCCAUUUUAGUCGUUUUCAUUGUCAAAAAGUCGAAAUACAGAAGUGCAUUUUUAUGGUCAAAAACUAAAACGGAGUUCUGACCAAUUGAGGGUAUUUUGGUCAUUUUUUGGUCUACAGAGCUCCAAAUUGGAUGAUGUUUGAUGCAUUGGAAAGCUAAUGCAAAGGGCUACAACUUUCAUGAUUUGUAUAAGAGUUAUUGUAGCUUCUAUCAUCAAGAAAAUAUCAGUUGAAAUUGGACCAAAAAUAGAGCAAGGAUGAAAUUUGUCCAGAAUUGAGCAACCUGCAAAAGGCAAUAUGUGGGAUACAAUACGCGACCUAAAGUUGCGUUUUCAAAGACGCGUAUUCAUCAUUUUCAGCUGCAACUUGCUCUGCAACUUGUUCUUUCCAACUCAAUUCCAGUAAGUAAUUUUGGCUAUACAUGACCAAGAAGAGUGUGGAAAGUUAGAGAACCAACCUUUGGGAGUUUCAAGAGCCAAGAAUGACAACUAGAAACAAUUCAUUUGUGGCUUGAAUCUCUCUAUAAAUAGCAGCCUUUGGAGACCAUUUUGAAAACUUUGGAAGGUUGGAGAAACUCCACAAAAAUGUAGUCUUAACUAGUUUUUUUAGUUCAUUAGUAUAGUGUAGUUAGAGUAGGUUAUCAUUCUUGUAUUUGUAGCUAGAUUUGGAUGAAGAUUUAAAAAGCAAAGAUGGAGAGUUGGAUCUUGUGAGAACCCGAAAAUUUUCACAUUUUCUAGACAUUAUUUUAUUUUUGCCUAUAUUUUUUUACUUGCCUUUAAAAUAUUAAAGUUUCUAUACAUUUUUAUAAGUAAGUACAAUUUUAAAUCAUUUUCCUAGUGUACGUUAAAUUUGAAGUGCAUUAUAGACGUGGGACCUGCUAGUGCGAUAAAAUUUUGGUGACUAAGUGAUUUUUGUGCUAAAUGUUAUUAUUUUAUACGGUGCUAGGAGAUGAUUAGAGGUUAGCUAGAUAGAUUAACCAUUGGGAGAAGGAAGAUAAGUUUAAAACAUUCAAGGUGCCACGUGUCACGACCCGAUUGGAAGUUGGACUUGACCAAGACUUUCUCACCUUUACUAAACCAAAAUUUGACCAAAAAUUCCUUUAUUUUUCUUGCUUCUUGGCCGGCUGUUUUGAGGAGAAAAACAAGAAGAGAAACUUCCUUUUCUAGCUUCCAAACUUGCUCAAAUCUUGAGUUUUAGCCAACCAAAUUGGAAACUACACCAUAUAAGUGCUCACUAAGGAGGUUUAAAGGUUUUGGUGGAGUUAUUUUGGAGGAGGAAGAUCUAAGCUACCAUUUUUCCUUGUGGUCAUAAGGUAUAUUGUCAAGAAAAUCCUUCUUUACUUCUAGUAAUGGCAUAUUAGUGGUUUAGAAAUGAGAAAUAUGUAGUUUUAUGAGGAAUAUUGUGAUUUGAAGUAAUGAUUGAGGAAUUUUCAGUUUUCUUAGAGAAUUUUCUGUCCUCAUGUGAUGAUUAAUGGUUGGCCAUGAUUUAUUAGCUUUGAUAUGUGAAAAAUCUAGUGUUUUGGUGUUAGUUUAAUUUGCCUAAAGGAAUUUUCAGCUUGGGUGUUAAAUUUCAGCUUUAGUAGAGAAUUCUGCCCUGUUCUGACCAGUUUCAUUCGGCCAUGAUGGAGGCCGAAUUGGGCUUAGUUUAAAACAUGAAAGUUGUAGAAAAUGAUGUUUUAUAGCUGCCUGUAAAAUUUCAGCUCAAUCAGAGCACUGUAUCACAUGAAAUGACAAAAAUACCCUUGACUGCCAUAGGUAGAGUUUUGCGGACAGUUUUGACAUUUCAUCAUUCUGGCUUCGUUUUUCACCUUGAUCAGUAUUAAAUCAGCAGUUGGCCAAAACAUGAAAGUUGUAGUCUUAUGUUUUUAGCUUUCCAACGCAUCUGAAAACGCCUCAAUCGGACUUGUGUAGCCUGACUUAUUGUCAUUUGAACCCAGUGCUGUUAUUCAGCCUGACAGUGAAAUUCUGGUUCUGUAAUCUGUAAAUUCGACCUGGAUAAACUGUGAACCGGGCUGAGUUGUCUUCAUAAAAGUUGUAGCCCUUUGUCUUAGCUUCAAAACGGUAUAAAUUGUACCCCAAUUCUAUCAGCGUAACUUUGGUUGUGACCGAUACGCUAAGAGACGUCAAACCUGUCAUUUUGUUCUUUACCUUAAACCUUAUUUCAGGUCACUUUUCUAGCUUGGUUUUGUAAUGGAAUGACUUUUAGCCUAUUGAACAGUUAUUGUAAUGAGAUUAUUUGUGGGUGAUUUUGGGGGCUGAUUGAGGAAAAUAAUGAAGCCAUAAAUGGCUGAAAAAUAGGUAAAUACAAAGGGCACGCUGCCCAAAUUUGCACUCGAGAGCUAGGUAGAUAUACUCGCGACUUGAGUAAGGGUUGAGGAUGAAACUAACUUGAAUCAUCUAAGGUAUUCAAAUCUUCUUUAUUAGAGGUAUAUAAGUUAGAAUCUGGCCAAAACUUGUACCCUUGGAAAAUGAAAUUUACGACUAAUAGAAAUACGUUUUCUUCAUUUCUUCGACUCAAAUGGAGCUUUCAAAGUUUUACGAGUGAGCAUAAGUUUUACAAAUAUUUUACACAUGGCCUUUGGUUUAAAUGUACUCUUUUCACUUCCAAAACUAUACUUAUACUUUGCACUAGUAGUUAUUCGGAUUUUCUUUGGUUCACCUAAACUUUGGAUGGUAACUGUAAUAUUUUCUCUUGGUUAUUAUUAGGGUUCUUUGGUGAUUGAGGGUAUUAUCCAGAAAGAAACUUUGGACGUUAUUUUGCUUAAAUAGGUGAGUGUUCUUUGUACGUUAUGUUUCCAAUGACUAUGUGGAUUGUUGUGACUAUGUGACUAUUUGUGAAUGUUGGAUUAAAUGUUAAAUGUUUUCAAUGAUUUCUAAAAAUGAAUUUUGCUAGGCGAGUGUGUACUUUAUCGCACUCGACCUAAAUGAAUAUGAAAUUUACAAUGAUUAAAUGAUUAAAUGUUUAAAUACUACUUGUACAUGAAUGUAAGCCUUUUUGGCUGAAUUGGGCCCUUGCCCUUUGUUGCCGGUCGACUCGAGCCAGAAGCGGAUUCGAUCGGGCGAUUGGUGACCCUGGGUUAAUGUUUGGUAUACUCGAGUCUGACCACGAAGUCUGGUGGAGAGUGGCCAAUGUCCAGUAGGGGGAAAAUGAAAUGAAUGAAUGAAUGGCAAGAACAAUGGAGGGGUUUUCACUUACAAAUAUAAUUUUUAAUGACUGAAGGAAUAAGGAAAUGAUUGGUGGAAGGAAUGAACGAAGGGCUCCACGUGAGCAUGUAUCCUUUUAAUGAGUGUGUUAUCAUUGCUUUAUAUUGUAAAUGUUUUCUGGAUUACUUGUUAUUACAUGAUUAAUGUCCUUGUUUAAUUACUUGGCUAUGUGUAUGGAACCUCACUGGGCUUUUAACUCAUUCCGUUAGUUUGUUUUCCUUCCAGGGGAUGAGAGCGAGGGCGGUGAGAUUUGUGCAGACUAGCCUGGACUAGUUCUUUUGAAUUUUUAUUUUUUUUCGAUUUUCUCGCGCUAGUGCUUGGUUAGGGUUGGAUGUAUUGAGGAUUUAAAGCUUUUGUUGUAUCUAGGACUAUAUAUUUUGGUUGAGAUUGAAAUGAAUGUAAGUAUACGUUUCAAAUUUGAGAAUUGUUAUUUCACUUCCUCGAGGUUAUAUCUUAUUUUGUUUGAGGAAAGCGUUUGAGUCCUGGCGAGAGUUAGGCAGGCUGUCCGCCGAACCCUUUGGUUCGCCUUAAGGGGAAGUGGAGCUGUCACAGAUCUCAUGUGACAAGGGUGACUUCUCUCCUAUCACUUUAUCUUUUGUAUUUGAUUUCAUGUUUAACUAUAAUACAAGUUUGAUGUUUGUUUUCAUAUUGGGCUAAAGUUUAUGCCUAGAAUUAUGGAUGAACUUACUAUAUCUUGUUAAUGAUAUUUAUUUGGUUAUUUGAUGAUAUUAUUUUGAGUAAGUUAUUUAUCAAUUUUGGUUUUCUAAUCAUGAUUAACUGGCCAUUAAUUGUGAUAAUAUUAAGAUGUUAAAUUUGUAAUGAGAAUUGAGAUUUAACACUAGUUCAAGGAGGUGAUAAACUAGUACACUCACGAGAGUAGAAAUACACCUAUAUAUGUGGUUUUAGUGACUUGUUUCAUAUAAUUUCAUAGAAGGAAUGAGCUUGUAGUAAUUUCAUAACCAUGAGAGUAGGUAUGGCUUUGUUACAACUAUAGUUAGUUCACUACGAGAGUAGGUUUCAUAUACAUUAGGAAAUUAUGCCAUAACUAGCCACGAUAAUAGCAUUCACUUAACCGGUAAUGUCAUUUGCAAGAGUAGUAAGGAAUUCCAUACUUCUAGGAACUUUUUAUUGUAUUUUUGUUACUUUUGUAGUGUAGAUUUAAUUUCUUGUACUUGUAAUAGUCUAAAUAAUAAAGGAGUUUGAAAACUACUGGUAAUUGACAAUCUUCCCUAUGGUUUCGACCCUUAAUACCCUAUACUCAAUCACGACUCAUAUACUUGUGAAAAAAUCACGUGUGGGGUAUUUAGAAAUUAUAAAUGUAAAAUUUGACUGUGAAUGAUCUUAAUUUUUAUAUGUAUACCCUUCACUCGUCAGUCCCAAAAUGCCUUUAUAGAGGCCAUGGUUCAUCAAACACAUAUUGGCAUAUCGCUUACAUAAAAUAUAUAAACCAACAAAUUGAAUAAAAUAAGAAUUUACCUCAAAAUAAUAAAAAGAAAAAGGAAAAAAUGUUUCAAGUUUGCAAAUUCAAUGUUUACAUCUCGCCAAAAUUGUAUGCUAAUUUGCAUCCAACUGUUCACCCUUCUUUACCGUCAAUUCCAUCACAUAUUCUAAUUCCUCCUUCAUCUUUUCUCCUUCUCCAUCUUUCUAAACCAAAGUCGUUGCUUUUUCCUCUUCUAUCCAAUUUUAAGAACAUAUGAGGAUACGCACCAGACUUGGUAGACAAAUUUCUAGGAAAUCAUUUGCAGUUGCUUAGAUACAUAAGUGAAACUAUUAUCUUCAAAAAGUGUUGGCUAUUGGAUUUGUGAUUUUUUCUAAUUUUUUGUAAUUUGAGAUUUGGAAGUUUGUCCUUCAUAUCAUUUGAAAGGCUUGUCAUAAAUUUGUUAGGUUUAUUGGAUAAUUUUUUUGUUUUAUCCUAGUCUUUAGGGAUUUAGUUGUUUGCUGAUUUUUUGUUAAGAUUAAGUAGUCACAACUUAAUUGAGAAAAUCAAGGUGUAGUUAUAGCAAAAAACUUUCUGCAAGUUUGUUUUGUAAUUGCCUAUAUAAAAGCUCUAGUGUUGAUGAAUAAAAUACAAGAAAUCCCCCUACUUUCUUCUGCUUCUACUUCUUCUAACAAAAUUUGGUAAGAGAUAGGAAAAAGGCUUGUCUUAAAUUUGGUAAUAGAUAGGAAAUAGGUAGUUAAAGAAGGUAAUAUAGUAGCUCGUGAUUAAUCUUCACUCGCAAUUUUUUCUUUUAUUUUCUUUAUUCUUUUCAAUUUUGAUGUUAAAACUUGCUAUCCAAAAAAUGGAAGCAGCCAACAUUAGGUCAUUUGACUUGUUCAUGCUCUACCUCGAUGAGAAGUGCUUUCCUACAAAUAUCAUGGAAUUUGGUCUUUGUUUCAAAAGGAAAAAGAAAAGUGACGUGUGUGGGAUAUGUAUAUAAUAAUUAAACUCAUUUCACAGUCAAGUUUUACAUUUAUAAAAUUCUAAAUACCCUAAACGCGAUUUUCUGCAAGUAUACGAGUCGUAAUUGAGUAUAGGGAAUUAAGGAUCGAACCCACAAGAAAGAUUGUCAAUUGCUGAUGGUUUUCGAACUCCUUUAUUAUUUAGACUAUCACAAAUGCAAGAGAAUAAAUCUACACUAUAAACAUGAAAUAAAAGUAAUAAAAAUAACAAUAGAAAGCUCCUAAGAGGUAUGGAAUUCCUCACUACUCUUGCAAAUAAAAUUACCAAUUAAGUGAUGGCGAUUAUCUUGCUAGUUAUAGCAUAAUUUCCUAAUGUAUGUGAAACCUACUCUCGUAUUGAAUCAACUAUACUUGUAGCUAAACCAUACCUACUCUCGUAGUUAUGAAAUUAACUACAAAGUCAUUUCUUUUAUAAAAUUACAUGAAACAAGUCACUAAAGCCACCAAAGUACACCUCUACUCUCGUGAAUGUACUCCCUAGGUUUAUCACUUCCUUGAAUUAGAGUUAACUUUCAAUUCUCAUUGCAAACUUAACACCUUAAGAUUAUCACAAUUAAUAGCCGAUUAAUCAUGAUUAGAAAAAUAAAAGUGAUAAAUAACUUGCUCAAAAUAAUAUCAUCAAAUAACCAAGUAAAUAUCACGAACAAGAUAUAGAAAGUUCAUCCAUAACUCUAGCCUUAAACUUUAGCAAAACAUGAAAAAUAUGAAAGAAAAGACCAUACUUGUAUUAUAACUAAAUAUAAGAUUCAAAUACAAGAGUUAAAAAGUUGAAGAGAUGGAACCCUUGUUACAUGUGAGCAACAUCUUCUCCAUCUUCAAAUCUCAAUCAUCAUUCUUGGUUAGCAUGAUACAAGAUCGAAUAAAACUAUACUAACCUACCUAAACUAAUGAAUUAAGAAAAACUAAUGAAGACUACAUUUUGGUAGUGUUUCUAGCCUCCAAAGUUAUAAAACAAGCUCUCCAAAAGCCCUAUUUAUAGAAGGAAUUUGUGCAAAAGAAAAAAUAUUAAAUCAUGUUAAGAUUCUCCUCGAUCCCAUAAACAAGCUAGAUUUGAGUUGUAAAGUGUCUUUGACAGCUUUCUUGGAAUGUUUCCACUAAAAUUCCUUGCUGGAAAUAUGUUAGAAAAAUAGUAUGAAGGUAGAGCAAGUUGAUGUGCAAGUUGUAGAAAACAGGGGAGAAUACGCCGCCUUUGAAUACGCGAACUAAUGCCACAAAGUCAAAGCUCACGUUUUCACUUAUGUGACUUUAGCACCACUUCAACUGAUGUUCUCUUGAUGAUGGAGGCUGAAUUAGUUCUUUUGCAAGACAUGAAAGUUGCCUCAACAGGUCAAAACUCUGUUUUAGUUUUCGACAACAAAAUUUUACAUCUAUAUUUUGACAUUUUGACUAGGAAAAAUCAUGAACUAGAUUUUGAUAUCUUCAUAAGAAAUGUAGAGCUAUGUGUUAGCUUCAAAAUGGCAUCAAAAUCACUUCAAUCUGAUACUUGUAACUCAAGAUAUAGCCGAAAUACCAACAGGUGUCAAACCUAUCAAACUUUUCCUCUUUUAUACUUGCUUGCAUUUUAUCUUUUGAGUAUUUGGCACUUCAUAUUCUCUUUAAAUCACUUUAAAAUCAUCAAAAAUCAUCUACUUAUCUUCUCAAUUCACUCCAUUUGAUGAUUGAAUCCUUAAACAUACCAAAACAAUAAGUUUUCAUCGCUUAAAUCCAUAGAAAUGCAAUUUUUGAUACUUAACCCAUAAAAUGCAUUCUUGACUAGAAAUUUAGUUCAUUAGCUAUAGAAAAUAAAUAAAACACACCAAAACUAAGUAAUAAAACACACUUAAAACAAAAAAAGUAUGCACUUAUUAGAGAGAUAGAGCAGCCUCACUUGUAGGCCCAUUUGGCAAUUAUGCAGUGAAUUUUGGUUGAGUUUGUAGCCAGAAUCGCAACUCACACAAAAAGAUGAAGUGGGCAUUUUUUUUUUACAAAUUUGGAAAUUGGAUGGCCAAAGUUGGUGAUUGGCGAUGGUCGCAGGUGCAAGUGGCAGACGAUGGAUGUAGUAUCAACCCCAACAUUCUAGUUGCCAUUGUUGUUACCUUUAAGGCUUCUAGAAAAUUGGAAACAAAAAAAUGGGAACAAAAUAGAAAAGAAAAUAUAUGAUGAUUUUGUAAGAUAGGCAAUUUUAAUUAUGGUGGGCAUUUAGUCAUUUUACUCACAUUUAAUAGAAGUUAUUGAUAGGGGUGUAUUUGUUAUUUGGUCAAAUCUCGGGGCUUGAUCGGUAAUUUGGUCAAAUUUGAGGGGAGGUAAAUGUAAUUAAACCAAAAUUUUAUUACCAAAACCUCACCUUUAAGAUAGAUGUUGAUUCAAGACACAUGAUAAAAAAAACAAAAGCUAAUACAACAAAUAUUGCAAGAUAUGUUCAAAGCCAUGAUAUUACAAAAAAGAAUACUUUGAAGACUUGAACACUAACUCUUCUUCUUUGGCUCUCCAAUUUAACACCCAGUUGGAGCUAGAAUUUUCUUUAGAUUUCUUAUGCUUUGGAUACCAAAUAUUCUCAUGCAAAAUAACAUGGUUGAGAAAUAAAGUGUCUCAACAAAUCAAUGCAACAAAUUCAGUGAACAAUUUGAUAAAAAGAGCCCUCACAAUGCAGUAGUCAAGCCAUAAUUGGUGGAUAGAUUUAAUAGUGUAAGGGUGUUAGAGGGGAUUUAUCGUAAUAUGGUGGUGGAGAAGACAAUGAAAAAGGUGAAGGUGAUAGAGGAGGAGGAGGUGGUAAGUUAUAGUAAUAAGGGAUGGAGGAGAUGGUGAUGGUAGUGGUGGAGAUUUAUAAUAGUAUGGUGGUGGAGGUGGUGGGGAUUUGUAGUCAUAAGGAGGUGAAGGUAAUGGGGAAGGAGGAGAUAGAGAUUUAUAGUAGUUUGGUGGUGGAGGAUUAGAAGGAGGCGGUGGAGGAUUACAACAGGAUGGUGGAGGAGAUGGUGAUGGUGAUGGUGGAGGUUUAUAGUAGUAUGGUGGUGGUGGUGAUCACGAAAAAGGUGAUGGAGAUUUGUAGUAAUAAGGAGGUAGAGGUGAUUGGGGUGGAGAAGGUGGUGAUUUAUAGUAAUAUGGUGGUGGAGGUGAUGGAGAUGGUGGUGGUGGUGAAUUGUAAUAGUAUAGUGGCAGUGGUGAUGGAAAUAGUGGUGGUGGUGGUGGUGGUAGAGAAGGUGGUCAUGAAGACUUAGAGUAAUAAGGCAGUCAGUGACGGAGUCAGGAAUUUUUUUUGGGGGGGGCCAAAAUUUUUUCCUAAUAAAAUUAUCUUAAUAUAUUAUGUUCAAAAUAAUUUUCUUCUAUUUAAAUAUAUGACAUCUAAAAAUAUCAAAUAUUAAAUUUAAUUAUAAAGGUACGUCUAUUCAUAAAUAUACGGUACAGUCAUAACAAAAAUUAACAAAAAAGAUAAUCUUUGAUUAAAUAUCUUAUAACAUUACAAACCAUCCAAUUGCACAUUAUGAGAAGAUGCUCUCCAAUAUGUCACCUAUGCAAUAUAUAUAUAUAUAUAACCAUGUAAUAUAAAUAUAACCAUUUUCAAUUGAAAAAAGAUAAAAGUUAUGUUAACAUAUUUUGAAAUUUCAACAUCUUUUCUUAGAAGUAAAUUGAGCUCUACGCUCUUUCAUAGAACUAAAUUCAUCUAUGAUUGAAUCACUGCUAAAUUUUUCAGCAACUUCCUUUUCUAUAUACACAAUUAGAUAAUCAUUUAAGAAAUUAUCUUCCAUCUUGUUUUGGAGCUUUGUCUUGAUUAUUUUCAUAAUUGAAAAUGCCCACUCUGUAAUUGCAAUCGAUACAGGAAGAGUAAGAACAAGUCUAAUCAAUCUAUCAAUAAGAGGAUAUAUCACUGAUUUUUUUGUCUUCACCAAGCCUUGACAUAACUCAUGAAUACCAGAUAAUUCUUGCAAUUCAUGAUGAUUUGGAAUGUCGAGUUCAAAAUGUUGAAGUUCUAUUUUUAGACGUACUAGUUCUUGCUCCAUAAAAUCAUUCGGAUAGAACUUCUCUGCAAGUUUACAAAUAUCAUCAAUCUUGAACAGCAUAAAUCCAUUUCUAGGAUUUAAAGUAGUGCUCAAAACAAGCAAUUCCAUGAUAUGAUCAUUAAACCUGCUAUGUAACUCUUGCAAUUGAUAAUCAAUUGUUGCAAGAAAUAUAUCCAUUCGAUAAUAAUGCUCCACACUAAUCUCAUCAUGAUGACUUCGAGAUCUACCACGUCUUGCAAUAUAUUGAGCAUUCAUACAUGGGAUAUCAAUUUGAUGUUGCUCAAAAAAUAAUUUAACGUUCACCAAAAAUCAUCCCAUCCCGAAUCUCGAAAAUUCUUCAGUAGCUUUGUUGUGCUUGAGACAAGAUAUAUUGCAUUCAAAAUAUCUUGAGAUUUAUGUUGCAAUGCUAUACAAAAAAGAUGAGUAAUUUCCACAAUGUCUUUUAUAAGAUGUAAAGUGAAAACAAGCUUAAAAGAUAACAACUGAUUCAAAACAAAAUUUGCAUCUCCACGUUGAGAGUAUGAGCCUCCAUCUACUGCAAUGUUACUUAAAACCACACAAGUAGCAUUGAACAUUUUCAGUAAACUAGAAAUAGAAUCCAAAUGAGAACCCCAACGAGUAUCUCCAGCUCGUUUUAAAGUGCCAAUUUGAUUAAGCCCCCUUCCAGUUUCAAGUUCACCAUUAGCAAUCUUAGUAGCAACUUCAAUUGCUUGAAUCUCCUUUAAUUCAUCAUUACAUUUGCUAGAUGUAGUAACAAUGUUGAUAAUGAAAACUAAAUUGGAGAAGAAUUGGUGAACAGAAACUACUUCUCUAGAAGCUGCAACUAAAGCAAAUUGAAGCCUAUGAGCCAAACAAUGAAUGUAACAGGCAUAUGGACAUUCAUGGCAAAUUAAAGCUUGCAAGCCAUUCCAUUCAAAGAUGACUAAUUCAUAUACAUAUAUAUAUAUAUAUAUCAACUCUCAUAAUAUAAACUAAAAUUGUAAAAAUUAACUCUCAUAAUGACUAAAAUUAGGAGGGCCAAUUUUAUUUUACACACAUAUUUAUAUAUUAUGAAUUAAAAUUCUCAAAACUUAGGGGGGUCAUGGCCCCCCUCUGCCCCCCUUGGCUCCAUCAUUGCAAACAGGUGAGAACAUUAUCUCACGAAACAGCUCUAGAAUACACAUGGGUUUUUACGACAUGCAAGGCAAGUGCGUUUGCUCGUGUACUUCUUGAUGUUUGUUGCUUCAUACAAUCAGUUUGGAUAACUAGAUACUAACAUUUUUGUAGUGCUCUUUCUUUUUUAGGAGGUAUACAGUUUUUUUUUUUGAAAAAUAAUUUGAUUCCCUUGAGAAUCAUAGGCUGUUUCUUUGUUGAACACUUACUGAUUUCUUCCUUCCCCUCUUUGGUGCCGGAACAUUUACUUGGAUAAUUAUAGUAGUCUGUGGUAUAUCUGUUCUCAAGUUAGUACGUUUCAUCUCUUUGACAUGGCAUAAGGUAAACAUCAGUUGCUUUCUAUCACUGGCCGCCAGAAUCCCCUAUAUAUAGGGGGUUUUCCGGCGGCUUGGGGGGGGGCUUAAGCCCCCACCAGCCCCCCCCUUAAAUCCGUGGCUGAAGGCAGUGGAUGUGAUGGGGAAGGAGGUGGCGUUGACUUAUAGUAAUAGGGCGGAGGUGAUGGGGAUGGUGAUGAUGGAGAACUAUAGUAAUAAGGAGGUGGAGAUGAUGGUGAUGGUGAUGGAGGAGGUGGAGACUUAUAGUAAUACGGUGGUGGAGUUGAUGGAGAUGGUGGCGAUGGAGAUUUGUAUAGUGAUGGUGGUGGAGACUUAUAGUAAUAAGGAGGGGAGGUGAUGAGGAACGAGGUGGUGGUGACUUAUAGUAAUAGGGAGGUGGAUGUGAAUGGGAUGGUAUUCGUGGAGAUUUAUAGUAAUAUGGUGGUGGGGAUGAUAGUGAGGGAGGUGGCGAAGACUUAUAGUAGUAAAGAAAUAGAGGUGAUAGCGAUGGUGGUGGUGGUGAUUUAUAAUAAUAUGGUGGGGGUAGACAAUGAGAAGGAGGUGGAGGUGACUUGCAAACAUAUGGAAGUGCUGGUGAUUGUGAUGGAGGUGGUGGAGACUUGUAGGUAUAAGGUGGAGGAGAUGAGGGAGAAGGUGGAAGUGGUGACUUGUAGAUGUAAGGAGGAUGAGGCGAAGUAGAUGGUGAUAGAGGUGACUUGUAGUAGUAAGGUGGUGGUGGAGAUGCAUAAAUGUAGGGCUUUUGUCUAUAGCAGCUACAUUUGUGGCCUUCAGACAUGUUGCCAGGGCAACAACUAGCCUUGGCCAAGAUGUUGCCAUUUUUGGCAACUAAAGAUGUUGAAGUCAAGGAACUCUCUAGUCCUAGCAUGUCUAUGUGAAGAAAAUGUAGAACUCAAAUUUUAGGGUACUAAUAAUAAUCAAUACAUGCAGUGUUACAAAAUUGAAGGGAUAAAACAAACACUCAAAAUAUAUGUGAGAGAGAAGAAAAUAACAAACUCAACUCACAAUAUUAUUGAAAUCUCAAACAAUGAAAAAAGUCACACCAUAAUAGAAAUCUGACAAACUUUUCUAGAUUCUCUCUAAAAAAUAUCUUAAAUAAUGUCCUAUUUAUAAUUUACCAAACUUGUUAGAAAAGAAAACACUUGCAUAAGAAAUUGCUAAAUAAUACACAAAUUCCUAAAUCACACAACUACUAAAAAUCUAACUCCAAUAAAACUAAUAAAUAAAUAUUUCUAGGAUUGGUUUAGUUUGCCAACAUUGUCUCUCUUAAACCACGCUCUCCAUUGAGACAGGUCCAACACCACUCAAGCAAGAAUCUCUAUGCAAAUCUCUGUCGCAGUAUAGUUGACAUGUAACUUCAUCUUUGUAUGUGGUAGUGGAUACACUUUGUAUUUGCAAAUAAUUUCUUAGCAAUUUCUUCUUGAUCAAAGUACUCACUCGUACAAACCCAUUCAUCACCAGAAUCACCAUAUUUAUCACCAAUGUAAGUGCCCAAAAAUACAAAAUUAUAUAUUGCUUUCUUGUCAAAAUUAUCAUCACCAAAUAAUUCAAAAUAAUUACUACCACAAUUGUCCAAAAUUUUCAUACUGUCAAUCAACUCUUUUGGAGCAAAAUAUUUUUGAAUUCCGAUGAAAUCCGUAUUUAUCAAAUGAAAUAUCUUUCGAUCAUAUUGAAGAGAGUCCGAACCAAUAAAAUUUACAAGAAUUGCUUUUUCUUCAUAUACGAAAUCAAACUUUCCCUCCUCCUUUAUCAAAUUACCACAUGGUUUUUCUAUAACAAAUUCAUCAAUUCCAAUUUCUCCAAACAAGGUAUGCAAAUCCAAACAAUCAACUGAUUCAAAAUUUUCAACAUCACCCAUAUCAUCAACAAAUCUAUCAUUUUCAAAAUCAACAAACCAAUACCAACAACCAGAUUUCGGUUUAAAAGCAUAAUUUUUCUCAAUUGUCUGCAAAACAUAGUAAAUAUCCUUCCAAAAUCUCCAAAUAUUUUAGUACGAUGAACAAAAGUUUUGUAAAUACUUUCUGCCAUUGUUUUAUGCAUCACUUGAAAACAUGCUUUGGCAACUCACUUGCAUCAACCCAACAAAGAAUAUCAUCCAAAUUGCAUUGUUUGAGAUAUUUUUCCACUGUUAAAACCUAACCAAAAUAUUUAUGUCUAUUUGUGCUUAUAGGAGUAACUAUGGCAAAAUUUUCGCCAUCAAUUAGAUCUCUAUAAUAUUCUACCAUUAUUUAACAAUUCAUAUACAUAAAUUUUUCUCUCCCUUUUGCCAAGUUUUCCUAGCAUCCCUGGUUGAUUGACUAAUCAAAUCCUUUAAUCUGACAACUCGCAACAAUCAACAAAUCUAACAGGUUUCCACUCCAAUCUCUGUCUUCACAUCUGCAACAAUCUAACAAUUUUCGGACCAAUGUUAUGGUCGAUUUCUUCACCAACUACACACUUCUGGACCAACUUUGUGGUCUAACUCGAUUAACAGAAUACUUUUUGGCAACUUUGUGCCAUAAUUCUCUGACAAUGGAAACAUUUAGGACUAACCUCGUAGUUUGGCUUUGACACCAAUUAUAGAACCCAAAUUUUAGAAUUUUAAUAAUAAUCAAUGCGUGCAGAGUUACAGAAUUAAAAGGAUAAGACAAACACUCAAAAUAUAUAUGGGAGAGAAGAAAAUAAUAAACUCAACUCAUAAUAUUAUUGAAAUCACAAGCAAUGAAGAAGGUCACAUUACAAUAAAAAAAAUCUGACAAACUCUUUUAGAUUCUCUUUAGAAAAUAUCCUAAAUAAUGUCCUAUUUAUAAUCUAUCAAAUUUGUUAGGAAAGAAAAAAUUUGCAUAAGAAAUUACCAAAUAAAACACAAAUUCCUAAAUCACCCAACUACUAAAAACUAAACUCCAAUAAAACUAAUAAAUAAAUACGUUUAGGCUUGGUUCAAUUUGCCAAUAGUAAACAGAGCCAAUUGUGGUUAGUGUGUUCAAGCUAAUGUCUUUAUAUAGUGUUUGAUGCAUGAAGAAUAUAUGGAAUACUUUAAUUCCAUUUGGAAGCUUCAGAGUAUGAAGCAUACAAUGAUCACAUCGUGCAUGCGUGUUAGACAAGCGGGUAACAACUUGAUCGGAUCCCACUGCAGGUUUGGUGCAUAUGCUUCAGAUCAAGUCAAGACGGACAAUGUCAAAUCUAAGAUUAGAAUUUUGGGCUGAAUGAGGUAGGAGAAAUCUAUUAGGGUAGCUUUACAAGAAAACUUUAUAAUUAUCAAGUUAAACAUAAACUAUAAUUGGCAAAAAGGAAAUGUACCAAGGUAGGUCUAUAAGAAUUAAACCUCUAGCUAGUUAAUAAUCUUUAGAUGUGAUAUUAGAACGAACCACAGCAUUUUGCGAUGUUGGCUAGUCCGAAUUCAUGGAGAUUGAGACGAGUGAUUUGUUGAAGGAUAUUUUGAAACUGUAUCGUGAAGAUGGCGGUUGACUUACAAUUUAAUAUUCUCAAACGAGUUACAUUGUUACUGGUGUAUACCCAAAAGUAUACAACUAUAGGGUGGAAAGAUAAAAACUAUGUAAAAGUUAAUUUACAUGAUCCAAAUGUUGCAUUUUACAGUAUGUUGUUGAAUUGCAUACAUUUUUCUUGUUCUUCGACCCCCCCCCAACCCCCCCCCCCCCCCCCGCUCCAACACACACCUUCCCCCGCUAAAAAAAAACGAAAGAAAAAAUGGCACGCGCGCACACACGCAUCGAUCAUUGUGUUGAGUUCUAUUGGACAAAGCAGUUCAUACAAGCAUGUAUGUUAUAAGCUGCAUAAUACCUUGAAAUUCAUAACUUCAAAAAUGUAUAAAAUGGAAAAACAAAAGUAAAGUACAAUAUGAGAUGCUUACCUACAAUAUCAAAAGCAUGUAUUCUUCCCAGAGAGUUGUAAAGACUAGGAUAUGUAGUAUGGCCUCCAUUGUUUUGUUUCAAUUGCAUGGUUUUUUUGGAGACAUGUUGCAGUUCAAGCAGCUAAUGGAUCUACCUCCAUCUCACGGCCUUAAUCUUUUGCUGGUACCAUAGAAGUGGGGAAGGAGGUUUUGCUCAAACUCAAAAGCAUUUGGGGAAGUUUAACAAAUGUUACCUUCUUUAAUUUGCUGGGAUAUCCCUAAAGCAAGAAAUUUAGCUUAUCGAUUGGGAAGGCCCGCUCAAUCUUGCAUGUUACUAAUCAAAUUAUGGCUUUAUCCAUUGAACGUGAAUUGCUACUACAAGAAAAUUGGUCAUCAGUGACAACUUUUCUCUGUGACGAAAAAAAGUUGUCACAAAAGUGGAUCCUUUAUUGACGACUUUCUAACUCGUCACAAACCUCUAAUGGGAGCCAACUCAUUUGUGACGACUUAGAAAAGUCGUCACUAGUAAAUUCCCGCCAAGAUUUAGCAAGAGCGCGGGAGUGUUUAGAACACACAAUAGUGACGACAUUAAGAACAUCAUCACUAUUGCUUGGCCUAUUUACGGACGACUUUUUGUUGUCGUCACUGAUCACUAAAAAAAAAAGUUAUUAGUGACAACAUUUUGUAGUGAUGACAAUAGGUCGUCACAAAAGGAGCUUCUUUAGUCGCGACACCUAAAGUUGUCACAAUUGCAUCAAAGCAACUAAAUGUUUAGUGACGACCCGUUAUUUUCGUCACAAACUACACUGCAAGAAAUAUGGUCAUUAGUGACAACAUUUUUUAGUGACGACAAAAGUCGUCACAAAACGUGGUUGUUUAGUGACGACAAGGAAAGUUGUCAUAAUUGCUCAAAGCAACUAAGUCUUCAGUGACGACCUUGAAAAAGUUGUCACUAAAAUGCUCUAUAUAGUGACAACUUCUAAUAUCGUCACUGUCACUCUACCGAUUCGGAUUUAGUGACAAGAAUUGAUCGUCACUGUUUAAAGUACUUAUUUCUAAGUCACUUUCAUUAAUUCUACUGUGCCACCCUAACUUUUGCGAUUUAGCCCCAAAUGUUGUAAAAAAUUCCAUUAAUUCCAUUAUGAUACCUUAACUUUUACAAUUUAGCCCCAUAUGUAGUACACCGAUUUCUUUAAUUCUAUUAUUACUCCCUAACUUUUGUAAUUUAGCCCCAUAUGUAAUUCACCAAUUUCAUUAAUUCUACUAUGGCACUCUAACUUUUGCAAUUUAACCCCCAUAUGUAAUACACCAAUUUUAUUAUUUCUAUUAUGGCACCCUAACUUUUACAAUUUAGCCCCUAUUUUUUUAUUAGGAAAUUGCGAAUGGUAUCUUGAUAAACUAUGCAUAAAUAUUUUAUAAUUUUCUCAAACUUAAGUAAUAAUUUGUUAUAAACUCUAAAGAUAUAUCUUUCAUUACAAUAGUUAUAAGGCAGACAGGUCUUUUUAUCAAUGGAAUAAGAAAUUUAUGCCAGAUUUAUCCUUUGUACUACAUGCCAAGUAGUAUUAGCAAAGGAAUAACAAAGUACUACAAAGUAAUUAACAAAAUAGCCUUCAGGGAGUGUAAUUUAUGGGCAAAUGAGCAUUAUCUAUUCAAAGUACCAACUUUUUAUGGGCAUUUUACUCUCAAACAUAUAAUUUAUGAUAAAUUUAUAAAUGUUUGUAAGUAAAAUUCAAAAAGUGUUACACUGAUUUCUUACAAAACGAAAACUGGCAGGUUAUCUUUUCAACAUAAAUUAAAUUUUUUUAAAAAAAGAAAUGGCCCAUAAAAUACCAACUCUUUGUGGGUUUCCUCCAUUACAUGAACAAAUAUUCUGCUCUUUAUGGGCAUUUCACUCCGAAUCAUUUAAUUUAUGUUAAAUACAUAAAUGUUUGUAAGUAAAAUUCAAAAAGUGUUGCACUAAUAUUUUUAUGGAAGGGAAACUGGUAGGUUUUGUAUUUAACAUAAAUUAAAUAUGUGAAAGCAAAAAAAAAAAGAAAUUACCCAUAAAUCUAUGUCUUGCAAAUGUAUACUAGUAAAAUAGUUUCAAACAAAAUUAAACAUUAAAAUAAACUGUAAUUUAUACACAUUAAAAUAUUUGUAAUUUAUACACAUUUUGCAACUACUACUUUGUGUUUUCUCUGUAAUGAAUUUUUUAACUAUUGAGAACUUAAGUUUUGUCUUGCAAAUCUAUACUAGUACAAUAGUUUUAAACAAAAUUAAACAUUAAAAUAAAUGUUUCAAAAAGAACAAAAGUACAUUUAUCACUUGCGGUAAUGUAACAAAAUUUUCUCAACCAUUAUCAAUAUUUUCACAAAAGUAUUAAAAACUAGCAAUUGACAAUAUUAAAAACUAGCAAUUUAAUUAGUGACGACUUUUCUUGUCAUUAUAAUCUUGAAUAAAUUAGUGAUAACAUUAUGUCAUCACUAAAUUUUCUUUGAUUUUGACUUAACAAUAAUGUCUUAUUAAUAGCAUUUGAUUAUUUUUAAUGAAAGUCUGUUAUAACCAUAGAAUUUGACUUUCGUUAUUUUCAAUUAAUGAUGUACUUUAGUGCUGCAAUUAUAAAAAAUUGCAGGGCUAAAAUAUUUGCAAAUUAUAAAAGUAUAUUUUCACUUAUAUGUAAUUAACAAAUUUUGCCACCUAUAUUGAUGAAAAUUUGUGUUUUUGUACUAAAAAAUAAAGAAUAAUACUAUAGCAAUAAAAUCUAUGCUUCAAACCAAAUUAAAAAUAAAAAAAAGCAUUGUGUUUUUGUAAUCAUUAUGUGUUCUCUAAUGAUUUUUAACUGUUAUAUACUUAUGAGCCUCCUUGUUAAUUUAAUUUUCUUGUAUAUGUAAUAACUUCAUUAGAAUAAAAAUAAUUGAAUAAAUAAAUAAUUCAUUAGUGUAAAUAAACUUGUGACUACUUAACUUAGAAUGAUUAUCAGUUAAUUUGAUAUGAAAAUUUGUGCCCAAGUUUUUUGGAUAUUGUUUGAGUUAUGGGCGAAAUCAUCUCCACUAGAAUUAUUUUAGUUGUGAAUACCAUUACUUCAUUUUUUUAUUGUGCAAGAUAAAGGUUUUCAGCGGAGUUGGUGGUGGAAACGGGUUUGAGAGAUUGAGUUUGGGGACGAAGGUGAAGGUUUUAAUUAGCUAUAGUGGUAGGAGUGGAUCCCCUUCUUCAUCCACCUCUUCCACCGAGAUUAACCCAUCUAACUCCACUUCCUUCAACCACCAAAACGGUGGUCCUGCUCCCCACCGCAUCGCUGCCGGAGCAAAUAACUCCGACUCGAUGCACUCCUGGUGGGAGUCCAUAUCAAAAGCCCGCACUCGAAUCCAUCUCCUCUCCACUCUUCUCCCCGAACCUCCUCAGUUCUCUCGUUCCUUGCCGACUCCGACCGCCCUGCCCGCUCCCUCCUCCUCUCUUCCGCCGCCUAUUCUUCCAUCUCAUCUUCCCUCUCCUCCCCUUCAUCCGGCUCCGACGACGACUCUCUUUGCCUGUGGCUAUACGACACCUUCCUCUCCGCUGACUCCGAACUCCGCCUCGUUGUCCUCUGCUAUAUCCCUCUCCUCUCCUCCUUCUAUCUAUCCCGCAUCCACUCCUCCUCCACCACAUCCGCUAUCUCCCCACCCCUAAUCUCGCCGGCUUCGAAGCUGUCCUUCUUGUCCUCUACUCAUCUGAAGUCAAGGCUCAUUCGGGUAUACCCGUGCUCAUUUCAAUCCCUGAUCUCUCUCAACCUUCUCUUUAUCACUCCUCUCGAAAUCCCCCUUCGAAUAAAUCGAACCCCAUUAACAAUAACCCCUCGUCUCGGCCUCUAGUCGGCGUUCUAUCGCCUCCUCUCGAACCCCAGAUGGCGGUGAAGUCUACUAAACGAGCUUCCAUUGUAGGCAUUGCCCUUGAUUGUUAUUAUAAGCAGAUCUCGCAAAUGCCCAGUUGGUCAAAGCUUGAUUUUUGCAAAUUUUCGGCAGAUUGGGCAAGUCAGGAUUGCCCUUGUAAAUCUGAUUUCGAUGAUUUUACUACCCAAAAACCUGAUAAUUUUACUGAAAGUAGCCAUGGGCUUUCGGGUGACUCGAGGGGUCACAAUGAGAUUGAGGAUGUUGUGGAAGAAAUUCGGCAUUUGCGAAGUGAGGGGAGGGAUGACGAGUUGAGGUCACAGGGGGUGAGAAUUCCGCUGCCAUGGGAGUUAUUACAGCCGGCAUUGAGGAUUUUGGGGCACUGCUUGCUAGGGCAUUUGAUUACAGAGGAUGUGAAAGCAGCAACUUCAGUGGCAAUAAGGAGCUUGUAUGCUGGGCCUCCCAUGACCUGAACCCGCAGGCCAUUUUGGCGACUAGCAGUCUGAUUUAGCUAGAUAACAGGGCACGCGAGGCUGUUGCUGCAGCUGCAGCUGCCAGUGCUACCUCCAAUGCUAAUACACCCAGUAAGGCUAAAAAGCCUGAGAUCCUUUUGGUUUCUAAGUGAUAUCAAAAGUGAAUGAGAUAAUUUGCUUUAAUUCUUGAAUGUGAGUUUGUAUGUGGAAUUAUGUAGGUAUAGGUGUAGAUUAUACGCGAGUAAUGAGUAGCUUAUUUUGAACUUGGAACUCAGCCUGAAAGUUGUGUAUCAUUAUUACUGUGAUAUGAAUAGGUGUUCCAAUUGCUUAUAUUUGGACUUAAAAAAAAUUAAAUAAAUAAAUCGAAUGAAUAUGUAAGUUUUGAUGAUUAUGUAGUGCUCUUGGAAUAUGUAGUUGUAACGUAAUUAGGUACAAGUAUAGAUUAGUAUCAAAAUUAAAAGAAGAAAACAUAUGUUUUAUAUGCAAACAUUUUCUUAUAAGAACUACAGCUACCAUUUUAUUCAUUGUCUUCGAGCUUAUAAUGCACAUUAUCAUUUCGUAGGGACAUCAUUGGUUUGUUAUUGUCUUGCAGCUCAUUAUGCUGAUGCUAUUGGUCCCUGCUAUGGAAUUCCCAAUUAUUGUGAUGUUUGGGUAAGUAUAUACUCCUUUCUAUCUAUGUUAGACUUGUUUCAAAUGGUUGGGUCUUGUCAACAAAGUUUUGUAAAAGUGACAAUUUUCACUUUGUUCUAGGAGACAUUUGCAUAUAAACAAGCUACAAGUGGUCUCUGAUUUGUGUUUGAUUUUCCUGCCAAUUAAUGAAUAUGAUAGGAGUAAUUUUCUUUUCCUUCCUUUUGGAAGUUUUUGCAUGGUUUAGUUGAGUUGUUUGUGUGAGAGUAAUUGAUUCAGCUUCCUUUUUUUUGCAUUAUUGUUUGCUGACUUAUUGGCCAAGAGGGCUCUCAAUUAGUUUUAGGACCAAGAAUUCCUUCUAUAGUUUUCUAGUGCUAGUAUUAGCUUCAAGUUAGCUUCUUAAUGUCUCCUGCAGUCGACUGAUUUUUGUUAUUAUUUGCAGCAAUUGAACCUGUUGACAGAGGCUUCGGAUUCGGAUUUGGGUCUAGGAUAUUACAAUCUACCAAUCAAGCUACCAUUUUCGCUUGUGGUACCCUUAUACUCUCUAUCUCCUCUUUGCUUCUUUUUUUCUGUUAUUUAUAGCCAAUCCAAUUCACUAUAAAUUUAUACUUUCUAAAUCAUCCUAAAAAUUGAAAUGUUGCUAUACAGCUACUAAAUGCACUAUGUAUAUAAUGCAUAUGUAGGUGCACAGUGGUUAAUGUGAUUUAAUAGCUAAGACUAAUUACUAUGAUUUUUUUUGUACUUUUUUGUGUUCUUGCUCCAGUUCAUGACAAUCUCAAAUAUGGCUGUGUUCCAUUUUGUUUACUUUUCAUUGUUGUUGUUUGGGAAGAUUAAAUUAACUGCCGUGUCUUCAUUAUGUUACUUGCUGCCCUUUUAUGGACAACAAGUGAUUUUCCAGCAUAAGCCUAUUUUCAACUAUAUAUACUUGUCUAAAUUGUGUUAUGUUUGUAAAUGAGACGCUCUUGUAAUUUUCCAGCAUAUAUGAGACCUUAAAUUGUGACUAAGGCAUAUUUAUUAUAGAUACAGUGGCUGUUGCGAUUCAAAAAUAGCAUAAGUUAUUGAACCUUAAUCCUUGGUCUGUGACAAUAUUAACAUGUAAUUUGCCAAAGAAUUUAGUAAAUGCUUGUUACUUUUGUUUUUUUAUUUAGGAAAUUUGAAGGCUGUUAUACGUCUUUGAUAUUAAGAGUUUUCUUUGUCUGUGACAAUACCUGGUUUUUACUCUCUAUAAUUGGUUCCUAUGUGCAUAUUAAGAGCUAUCUUUGCUUUUAUUUUGUCUCUUAUUCUGCUCUUUAUGUAGUCACUAUUUGGAUGAGAGUUUAAAUAAAUGAGACUUUAUUUUUUGUGAAUCCUCAUUUGAUUUUCCUUGUCUCAAGUUUGUUUUGUCAUCUACUAAUAAUUGUAUUUUUCUAUUGCAGAUAUAUUGCACAUUUUAGAGUUUUGGAAGAUGAGUAGCCGAGGCUACUUAUUAGCUCAAAAACUGGUUAUAGUGCUAUCUUAUGCUUAGGAAAUGUUUCGUAUAACACAAAAAUGUUUUGGGACUUGGAUUCGUUUUGUACUGCUCCCUUGCCUUAUAUGAUACAACUCAUUCUAAUACUACUUGUCAAACUCUUUAUAAUGUGAUGUUGCACAUGAUUAUGAUAUUGGAAGGAUUAUUAUAAUAUUUUGGCAUUUUCUAUUGUAAUGGGUGAAUGUGUUUGUUAUUCAUUAAGCAUUGUUGGUGGCUCCCAUUUUUUUAUAUUACUCUAGCAAGAAAUACAUCAAACUACACAGUGACAAGAUAUUGUAACUGAAUCACAUUUCUCCAAUGACAAGUGCCUAUUGUCAGUAAAUCAAAUGUCUUUAUUGACAACAAUUGUUGUAAUUGAAUUAAAUUCUAUAUUGACAACAAUAUGUUGUCACUGUUGAAAGGUGUUUAGUGACAACAAAAUUGCUAGUAAUUGGACCAUAUACUGAUGACCAUUGUUGAGUUUUAGUGACGAUAUUGUUUCAUGCAUCAUUGAUAAGAAGUCAUGUUGUCACUAAACUUAAAGCAUUUAUUGAUGAGAAAAGUUGUCACAAAAGCUCUUUAUUCACUGACGACUUUUAAGUCAUCAGUGUAUACUUUUACCGACGGGCAUUCAGUGACGACCCUGUGACGACCGAAAAGUUGUCAGUAAAAUCCAUUAGUGAUGACUUUUUACUUUUUUGUGACAAGAAUAGAUUGUCACUAAAGGUCAAAUUUCUUGUAGUACUUGGAAGAAGGAUCGAUGAAGGCCCUUUCCUAUUGUUAAAAGGUGUUUUUUUAGUAAUCUCAAGGAUUAAUGGCCUAGAGCGUCGUUUUCAGUUUUUGGUUCACCAGGUCUUUUAUUUACUAGAUGUUGAAUACUCAAUAGGACUUCAUCCCAAGAUCCAACUUAACUAAUAUGGACAUUGGCCUAGUGAGCAAGAAGUUGCUAGUUCUAACUUUCAGGUGGCGUUUGGUAAGAGGGUUUCGAAAUGGAGAAUUGGAAUAAACCCCAUAAUUAUUGUUUGGAUUACUACUAUCGGAAUCGUGAUUUUGGAAUUAUAUCUAAAAAUUUAGAAUUCCUCAAUUUCCCAAUAACUUGGAGGUUUUGGACAAAACCCAAGUCUGAUUCCCAUUUAAAAAUGGGGCUUUUCCCGCCACCCAUUAAAAAAAUUAAUAUAUAAUUAUAUACAUAUAUAUUAUUAUUAUAUAAUAUAUACUAUAAUUAUAAUAUUAAUUAUAGUUAUAUAUUUUAUUAUAAUAUUAGUAUAUUAAUUAUAUACUAAUUGCAAGACCUGGAGUCUCCUUUCGACUUUAAAAAAAAAAUACUCAUAGGACUGAUUUAGGCAAGCUAGGUUUAAAGAAGAUCAGGUAAAAUUAGAGACUUUGGAGGGAUGUUUGCUUUCUCGACAUACUAUGGCCUUUCCAGCAAUUUGGAAGCAGAAGCAAUGGCUUUUCUAGUGGGUAUUCGUCAUUUUUCAUACGAAGGAUUCCAAUAGGUCAUAGUGGAGACAUGCACUGGUUUACUCAAUCCAGUAAACGGGCUUCAUUGGUUUCUUGUGGGAUCUAUCAUCUCAUAUCUCAUGGCCUCUUAACAACAGACAAUGGCAGUUUUACUUUUGUUCGUUGCUUUUGAAAAGUCAAUUUGGCUGUAGUUGCCUAAGCAAAGAUCGCUAUUUUUUCAAAGUCCAGUGCUACCUUUACAUCUAUCAAUUUACCAUCACGUGUAAAAAUGAUAUAUUAGACUACAUCAAUCUCACUUUCCUUGCAUUCAUUCAUGUACCAUGCAUAAAGCUACAGUUUGAAGCCCGAUCUUGUAAAUUGAUUUUAUUUAUUGCUCGCUUCAUUCCAUUGAAAGUGUCAUACUUUUCAUUUUGAAAUAUCUCAAUAUAUUUGUCAUCUCAUCAAAAUCAAAGUUACUUCUGUGUUUUUUUCAAUAAUGUUAUCCUCACCUUUAUAUUUAUGUCAUACUAAAUUUAAAUUUGAAUUUUGAAUUUUUGAGGCAACUUUGGAAAUAAAUCCAUCAACAUCACUAUUGAGCCACUAUUCUUAAAAAGUUAGAAUCCCGAAAUGUUACAAAUAAUUUGGGACAAAGGGAAUAAUAAACUGGUAGGCGCCUACAAAAAACUUGUUACCAUAUUAAGGUGGCGUUUGGUUCGCACAUUAGAAUCAGAUUCAGAUUUGUGAUCAUUCAUCCUGGAUUUGGAAUGGAAUCAGUUAUUCCAAUACAUCUAGUUGGUUUAGUACUAGGAAUGUAUAUCAUUAUUAUAAUUAAUGUUUGGUUCAUUGGCUCUUUCAAAAUGGAAUAUAAGAAAUUUAUAAUAUUGUAUAUAUAUAUAUUUUUAUAAUAUUAUAAUAUAUUUAUUAUAAUUAUAAAUAUAUAUUAUAUAAUUAUACUAAUAUUUAUAAAAAAUCAUAUUAUAAUUAUAAUAUAUAUUAUAUAUAUGUAUAUAAUCAUAUUAAUUUUUUAAAUCGGUGACGGGGCGGGCCCCAUUUCUAAAAGGGGAAAAAUUCCCCCUGCCCAUUGGCCCCCUGUAGGGCGGGUGCCCAAUUGCCAUCCCUAGUUUUCGACAAAUUAGAUAGGAAUCAGACUUGGGUUUUAUCCAAAACCUUCCAGAUUACUAGGAAAUUGAGGAACUCCAUAUUUUUAGAUAUAAUUCCAAAAUCUCAAUUCCGAUAAUAGUAAUCCGAACAAAAAUUAUGGGGUUUAUCCCAAUUCUCCAUUCCGAAACCCUCUUACCAAAUGCCACCUAAGUGUUUUUCACUUUAGAAAUAGCGAGAACUAACAUAAUUUUAAUUUUUAAAAAUAUUAAAAAAGGGUCAACCUGCCUAAUGUUUAAACCUAGAGAAGGUAGAUAGACGCAAUGUUGGAACCAGAAAUAAUUUUUAUUAAGGGCAAAAACAAUACUAAAAUUUACUUUUGUUUCUAAAAGACAUAUUAAUAACAUUUACAUAUCAGAUAAGAGCAAUACAUUUAUAUCGUGAUUAAUAUAACCCAACGCAACAUGCUCAAAUUUACUACUAAACAACCAUUUUCAAUAAAAAUGCAUACUACACGUAUUUAAAUUUCUAGUUGAUCUACAGUUUUCCUAGUUACAAGGUCAAUAAUUUUUUAUUUGACUAGAAAGAAAAGGCACCCAUGAUUUAUAAAAAAGAUCACCUUCAUUUUAUUUUUAAUUGAGCAGCACAACUACUUAAUUCUAGACACAACAUUUAACGUAAUGUAUUUUGUUUGUUUUAUUGGAAAAAGUUGGGACAACUCAUUUGACUAAUGAUGAGUAAAUUAUAAAUAAUUUCCAAAAAAAAUGACAAAGCUGAAAAUUUUUUUGGAUUGUUUAGGUUUCCAAAUUCAUCAAAUCAUAAAUUAAUAGCAUUAUACAUUCCCUCCUACAUUUUUUCGGGCAAAGCUGAAAAUUUGCUAAAAAUUGAAGGCACGGUAGUGCAAUUUUGUGGGAGCAGUGAGGGCCUGAGGGCCGUAACCCCAGUAUCCCCACUUUGAAUCUAUCACUGAAUAGACGUUAUAUCAGAACUCAAACGGCAGGCGAUGUGAAAAUUCCUAUAUUUAAAUAUGGCUUGAAGCUACCAUUUGAGAACCAAUUUUAUAUGUUGAGGGGUUUAAUAGAUAAUCUUAAAAGUUGAGUGCCCAAAUAUGAUCAUUUGUAAAAGUUGAGGGACAAUUGGAAUUAUUUACCCAUCUAGUUAUAUUUAGCCUCAACAACCAUAAUAAAGUUAAUGAUCGAGAGAUUAUACACACACACACCAAAAGAUAUUACGUACAAUAAUAGGAAAAAAAACAGAAACAUAUCGGAAUAGAAAAGAGUUUUCAUCAAGAUAUAUAAAAUUUUAACUUCAACUUCUAACAUAAAAAGUUGAUUCAAAGUAUGUGAUCUAAAAACAAAAUCUAGUACAAGAAAUAUUAGAACAAAAGUAGAAGGCCAAGAUGUUACAAAAUAAAUACUUCGAAAGCUUGAACAAUGAAUCUUCUUCGUUUAUUCUGCAGUUGGACACCCUGUUGCAGCUAGAACUUUUUCUUCAUGUUUUGGAUGCAAGACAUUCUUAAGCAUUAUAAUAUGGUUGACACUAAUGUGUCCCAACGAAUCAACUUUACAAAUUUAUUGAACAACUUGAUGAAAACAGACCUCACAAUGUGGUAGUCAAACCAUAAGAGGUGGAGAGGUUUAAUAGUGUGAGGGAGGUGAAGGCAAUUUAUAGUAAUAUGACGGUGGAGGAGAUGAUAAAGGAGGUGGAGGUGAUUUAUUAUAGUAUGGAGGUGGGGGUGAUGCAGAAGAAGGUGGUGGCGAGUUAUAGUAAUAAGGGGGUGAAGGAGAUGGUGAUGGUGGUGGUGGAGAUUUGUAAUAAUAUGGUGGUGGAGGUGAUGGGGAAAAGGUGGUGGGGAUUUAUAGUAAUAACUAGGUGGAGGUGAUGGGGAAGGAGGAGGUGGAGAUUUAUAGUAGUAUGGUGAUGGAGGUGAAGGAGAAGGAGUAGGUGGAGAUUUAUAGUAAUAGGGUGGUGGAGGAGAUGGUGAUGGUGGAGACUUAUAGUAGUAUGGUAGUGGUGGUGAUGGUGAAGGAGGUGGCGGAGAUUUGUAUUAAUAAGGAGGUGGCGGAGAUUUGUAUUAAUAAAGAGGUGGAGGUGAUGGGGAUGGAGGAGGUGGUGAUUUAUAGUAAUAUGGUGGUGGUGAAUUGUAAUAGUAUGGUGGCAGUGGUGAUGGAGAAGGUGGUGGUGAAGACUUAUAGUAAUAAGGUGGUGGAGGUGAGGGGAGGGAGGUGGUGGUGGUGACUUAUAGUAAUAGGGAGGUGGAGUUGAUGGGGAUGGUGGUGGUGGAGAUUUAUAGUAAUAUGGUGGUGGGGGUGACGGUGAGGGAGGUAGCGGAGACUUAUAGUAGUAAGGAGGCGGAGGUGAUGGCGAUGGUGGUGGUGGAGAUUUGUAAUAGUAUGGUGGUGGUGGUGAUGGAGAAGGUGGUGGUGGAGACUUAUAGUAGUAAGAAGGGAGAGGUGAUGGGGAGGGAGGUGGUGGUGACUUAUAGUAAUAGGGAGGUGGAGUUGAUGGGGAUGGCGGUGGUGGAGAUUUAUAGUAAUAUGGUGGUGGGGGUGACGGUGAGGGAGGUAGCGGAGACUUAUAGUAGUAAGGAGGCGGAGGUGAUGGCGAUGGUGGUGGUGGUGAUUUAUAAUAAUAUGGUGGGGGUGGAGAAAGAGAGGGAGGUGGAGGUGACUUGUAAAUAUAUGGAGGUGGUGGUAAUGGUGAUGGAGGUGGUGGAGACUUAUAGAUAUAAGGUGGAGGAGGCGAGGGAGAAGGUGGAGGCGGUGACUUGUAGAUGUAAGGAGGAGGAGGUGAAGGAGAUGGUGGUAGAGGUGACUUGUAGUAGUAAGGCGGUGGUGGUGAAGUUGAGGGAGGUGAUGGAGACUUAUAGAUAUAAGGUGGAGGAGGUGAGGGAGAAGGUGGAGGUGGUGACUUGUAAAUGUAAGGGGAGGAGGAGGUGAAGGUGAGGGAGGUGGUGGAGACUUGUGGAUAUAGGGAGAAGGAGGUGAAGGAGAUGGAGGAGAUGGUGACUUAUAAUAGUAAGGCAGUGGUGGUGGAAGUGAAGGAGGUGGUGGAGACUUAUAAUAAUAUGGAGAAGGUGGUGACUUGUAAUAGUAGGGUAGAGGCGGUGGAGAACUAUAGUAGUAUGGUGGUGGUGGUGGUGGAGAUGCAUAAGAGUACGGUUUUUUGUCAUCAGCAGCCACAAUUGUGGGUGUCAAACAUAUUGCCAAGGUAACAACUAGCCUUGGCCAAGAUGUUGCCAUUUUUGGCAACUGAAAAUGUUAUAGUCAAGAGACCCUCUCGUCCUAGCAAGGCUGUAAGAAAGGAAAAAGCCAAUUGUGUGGUUUUUGUGUUUCAUGUUUAUGUCUUUAUAUAGUGUUUGAUGCAUGAAGAGCUUUUGGAGCAUUUUAUUUCAGUUUGAAAGCUUCAGAGCAUCAAGUAUAAAAUGAUCACAUCAUGCAACCUAUCAAGACUAGGGAGUAGCAACAACUAACAACAUGAGGGGGCAAGCUUGGUGCAUAUGCUUAAGAAUAGAAUUUUGGGCUGAAUUAGGUAGGAUGAAUGUAUUAGGGAAGGUUUUUAAGAAACCCUUAUUAUUAUCAAAUAAACAUGAAGAGUAAUUGGCAUUUUAGAACGAACUAUAGAAUUUUGGGAUGUUGGUUAAGUCCAGAUACAUGGGGUUUGUUGAAGGAUGUUUUAAAUCCUCAGUGUGAAGAUGGCCAUUGACUUACAAUUUAAAAUUCUGAUAAACCAUUACUGGUAUAAACCCACUAACUGUCUAUGAAUCCAGAUUCAAUUGAUGGUUGGAAGGAAUUCAUCACAAAUUUUUUCACGUAUCUUGGGUGGUUUUCUAAUAUUACUCUCGUAAUGAAAGUCUAUUAGUCGGAAAAAAACUACAACCACAUUCCACAUAUGACCAUAUGGCAGUCAAAUUCUUAAUAAUGCUAUUAAUUAUAAUAUUGAAAAUAAUAACAACAACACAAUAAAGAAUAGUCUUUUCAUGUAGGUUAUGUAUAGUCUAAAUUGUAAAGGGUUAGGAUGUCAAUUUUAUAAAGACAGGGACAAUAAUGGUGUAUGUUAAUGUAAGGAGAAAAAGAUACAUAUAAUUCACAAGAAGAGACACGUAAAAGUUAUAUAUAUUAUAUAUUAUAUAUUUGUUCAAUAUAGAACACGACACACACACAUCGUUGUUCAAUAUGUACACAUCUUUAUGUUCGUUUCAUUGAAAUAGCAACAUGUCCAGAGAAAAAAAAAAAAAAAAAAAGAUUUUUCCAAUGCACUAAGUAACCAGACGAAGCAACAAAGACUAGUAUUUUGCAUAGUUUGGGGCGGCUUCGUUCAAUUGUAUUAGGUAAGUGAAAAUGCGGUUCCAUUAAAUUUACUCUCUCCACUUGGAGAACAUUUAUAAUAGACAUGCAUGCAGCUUAAUAAUUUAUGCAACUAUUUCAACUAUAGUACAUAUAUUGACGACUAGGCUACGAAAAGGAAAUCUCGACUUAAUUAUAUAGGAAAGGGCUUCAUUUUUUGGUUAGAUUACUAAUAAAACCUUGUGGUUUCAUCUAUUACCACAUAAUCUCCCUAAUGUUUUAAAAUUCCAUGGUUUCAUAUAAAGGAAUUUUAACGAAGUAGUCUAUGCAAUAUCGUUUGUUGAAGUACCAACAGAACCCUUAUUUAAAUACUAAACCAAAUGAUGACUUAACCACCUUAUACAAAAUAUAGAAUGAUUACGAGGAUGAACGUAAAAAUUAUAGGAGGAUAAAGUGAAUAUUUAUGUGAACUACAGGGAUUUAAAUAGAUAUUAUGAUUUCAUCACACGUACUUUUGGAGCACGUAUGGUUAUUUUUGUCGUAAUUGAUUAUGCAUUACAGUCAUUUUUCACAUUACAUAAAAUCACAGAGAGUUAUGUGACUAUUUUGAAAACUUUAAGGAGGUCAUUUGGCAUUAUAAAAGACUACAAGGAGAUUAUGUAUAAUUUACCCUUUUCUUUAUGCUUUUUGUCUGGCAAAUUAUUCUUUAAUCCUAUGAUUAAUUAUUUGCAUUAAUCUACUUUUUAUUAAACUUUUGAACUGUGUACUUUGAUGUACUCGUGUAUGCAACGCGAUUCGACAUUUUCUUAUUUGAUUUUUUGCCGACAGUGAAUUUUUCUAAUAUAACAAUUGAACAUGUUAAUUAGUUUCUAUAAAAUGGAUUAUAUUCUUAUUACAUUAGUGCAUUUGAUAUCAACCUAAUUGUAUCCCUCAAGGUGCAGCAGUAUACUUCUUUUCCUAUUUGUUUUACAUCUAUACAUAUAGAAUUAGAAAGAUUAUUGCAAACAUUGGCCAUUCUGGUCGGCCUUGGAAUUAUAGAUCAAGUUCAAACACAUAAUUCGUUGAUACCGUUGAAUCCCAGCCUGCAUUUCACCAAAUCUCUUCCACUAAAAAAAAAGGUAAAAAUUUUAAAAAUUAAAAUAAAAUGGUUUCUUCCACUAAUUUCUCUCUCUCUCUCUCUCUCUCUCUCUCUCUCUCUCUCUAUAUAUAUAUAUAUAUAUAUAUAUAUAUAUCUGAUCUGUACAUAUAGAAUUGGAAGAUUGUUGCAACAUGGCCAUUUUGGUUGGCCUGUGGAAUUGUUGAGCUCAGACACGUAUUUUGUUGAUAGCAUUGAAUUCCAGCCUGCAUUUCCACCAUAAUAAAUAAGAAACCAAUUAGUGAAAAAAAAAAAAGAGUUUCUUUCGACUAUCUCCCUCUUACUCUUGUUAUCUUGCUAUUCAGGCAAAUUCAUUGAAUGGAAUAAGUAAUUUACAGUGCUUUGAAGAAUAUAUUAACUUUUAUACUCGAGCAUGAAAGGCAUAACUAAAAGAACAACCUAAUUCUUUUGUCCAACUUACAAAAUUGAUUUAAUAAAUCUAUAGUUUUAUGUAUGGAUAACUUUUCUAUCUAAUAUCAGUGUAAAUUUUUUUUUUUUUUUAACAAUAAUAGCUUCAAAUCAUGUUACAUAACAUAAAUUCAAAUCAUAUGCAUAUAACAUCCAUCCAAAAACUACUUGUAUAAAAAAUCACUGCACUGUCGGUGUAUAAAAAGUUAAUUAUUUAUGUAUAUUGUUAUGGACUUGAUGAGCAAUUGCUGAAGUUCGUAAUGUAGAUUUUCAAUUCCUAUACAUGUAAAGCUUCCCGGAGCGGUGAAUAUGGCUAAAAACCCUCGAGUCUUGUCACAUUUUAGUUUGAAGUUGGUUCUCAAUUGGUUUCCAAUAUAAACACUCUUUUGUUAUGGUUUGUCAAUUCUUGGUAUAUGAUCUAGGUAAUUAGUAGGUUCGAUCAAUUUCCACUUUUUUUUUUUAAAUAAAAGGAACGUAUUAGGCCAGAAUACUUGAGUAUAUAUGCAUAAAAUAACUUGUAGUGGAAUUUUUUAACAUUUUUAGAUAUAUAUAGAUGAACUAUAGCCAGUAAAAGUCAGAGAAAAACUAUUGCACCUCCCCACACUCUAGUUUACGCAACCAUAUAGACCUAUUAAAAAAUGACUAAUGAUAGAUGAAUAGUAAAAGCUUGAAUUCAUAUCUAAAGUUCCCUCCCUAUUUUUCAAUGACUAAAUUGAUGAUCCAAUAUCUUUAAUUACAAGAUUGGAAUUCGAAGUCUAGAUGUCACUUACAAUGAAUAAGAUUUAUUUUCGUCACAUCUCUCAAACAAUUUAAAUUAAAAGAAAAGUUCUCAAAACCAUCUUAACUUAUAAGAUAUAUUAGGCGUGUGAUUGUGAAAUCUCUGAUUCUGACUUUCAAAUUCUUCCAUUUUUCUGGGUAAGAUUUAAAGUCUCCUUUGAACCAAAAAAUAGGGAAAAAUGGAAAGUGCUCAAACCAUCAAAUAAUAUAGAAGAGAAACACAUGCCAUUACUUAAUCCUCUUCUGGACCAAUGGCAGAGCCAAAAAAAAGUUAUGCUCGGUAAUAUCAAACAGGAGUUUAUGCUUUUGGUGAAUCAUGGAAACCUUCUCCUUUUUCAGCACAUAUGAUGGUUAUAGUUUGAAGAAAUCCUGAUAAGUAGCCAAAUAUCUCUAUUAACUCUUCUCUAAUGAUUGAAAAGUAAACGCAUGUAUCAUCAAGUAGCUCUGAUCAGAAGUUAUAAGCUGCAUAAUACAACUGACAAUUCACCAAAAUCACCAAAAGGUAACUUUGAAGAAUUUUGCAGUGGAAGAACAAAACCACAGAACAACUCAAAUGCUUAUCCAAAACACAUAAACCUUUCGUCCUUAAUUUUGCCAAGAUUUUGCAAUACAUUCAAGUACAGUUUGCUCUGGUAGUGGUGACAGGUGAGGAUAUCCUAAAAGUUCAAGAGAUUGGAGUUUGGCUUGACAUUAUUGUGGAAGCUGAAAAAGUGAUGCGAUGUAAUUGCAAAGAAAUGUUAGAGAACUUGGACACCGUCCCAUUUUAUUGACCAACCAAAAACAAGAGAACAAACUAAAACAUUUAGCCUAUUUUUUUUAAUCCUCUUUCUCUUGCAAAUUAGACUUAUAAUCCUGAGUUUAGUUAUUUGCAUUAAUCUACUUCUAUUAAACUUUUAAGUGGUGUCGUUUGAUGUACUUGUACUCUAUGCAACGGCGGUUCGGCGUUUUUUUAUUUGAUUUUUUACCAACAGUGAAUUUUUCAAACAUAACAAUCGAACAUGUUAAUUAUUUUUCUCUAAAAUGGAUUCGUGAAAAAAAAAAUUGAGAUUUUUUCGACUAUAUCUCUCUUUGUUUUUUGUUAUCUAGCCAUUCAGGCAGAUCCGUACGUUGAAUGGAAUAACUAAUUUACAGUGCCUUGAAAAGAAUAGUGCCUUUCAUUCUGGACCAUGAAAAUGUUGUUAAUCAAAUUUUAAAAGAAUAACUAAAAGAACAACCUAAUUCUUUGGCCAGCUUACAAAAUGAUUAAUAAGUGCUAUAUUAUAUAUGUUAUUAUCUGCAGCCGAGAUUAUGGGCAUGAUGCAAUUGUUCAGUUACGUAAUUAAUGUAGAUGUUCAAUUUCUAUAAACGUCUAGAAUAACAUUUUAGUUUGAAAUUGGUCCUCCAUUGGUUUCCACUCUAAAUUUUCUUUUGUUAUGGUUUGACAAUUCUGGUUAUAUUGAUCUUGGUUAGUAGGUUGAUCAAUUACCACUCAGAAAAAAUAAUAAUAAGGUACGUAUUUGGCCAGAGUACUUACUUAUAUAUGUGAUAAAAUAAAUUGUAGGAAUAUUGUCUAACAUCUCCAGUUAUAUAUGGACAUGGACGAACUAUAGCCAGUAAAUUGAAGUCAGAGAAAACAGAUUGAUAGACAUAUCUAUCAAUAUACCCACACUCUAGUUCACCUAACUAACCUAACCAUAUACCCACUAAAAGAAAAAUUAUUGAUAGGUAAAUGGCAAAAGCUUGAAUUCAUCUUUUAAAUCCCCUCCCAAUUCUUCAAGCACAAAACAGAUUAUCCAACUUUUAAACUUAAAUCACAAGAUUGCAAUUAGCAGUCAAGGUGUCAAUUACAAUGAAUAAGAUUUAUUUGGUCACAUCUUUCAAGCAAUAUAAACUAAAGGAAAAAGUCCCCAAGAUCUGAAAUUCCAUGAAAUUACCAUGAAAUUCCUGUUCGGUAUUCAAAUCUUCCCAUUUGCCCUUUCUCCUUUGUAAGGUUUGAAAUCUCUUUCGAACCAAAAAAGGAAUCGAUCAAUAAGGGAACAAAGAACAGCAAAAACAGCUAUGCUCUCUGCUGAUAUCAAACAGGAGUUUAUGCAUUUUGGAGAAUCAUGGAAACAUUCUCCUUUCCAGCAUAUAUGAUGGUUAUAGUUCGCAGAAAUCUGGUAAGUAGCCAAAUAUUUUUAUUCAACUCUUCUCUAAUGAUUGAAAAGUAAACUUAUGGAUCAUCAAGUAGCUCUCAUCAAAAGCUAUAAGCUGCAUGAUACCCUGAAAAUUCACUAAGAUCACCAAAGGUAACUUUGAGAAACAGAACCUAAGAACAACAUCAAAUGCUCAUGUAGAAUACACACAAUUUUGGUCCUUAUGCCAUUAAUCCUUUCAAGAUUCAGCAAUACAUUAAACCACCAAGUAAAGUUUGGUCUAGUAGUGGCAACAGGUGAGAACAUCCUAAAAGUUCAAAGAGAAUGAAGAUUACAGUUUGGUUUGACAUUGUUGUGGAAGCUAAAAUGUAAUGUGAUGUGAACGCAAGGAAAUGUUGCAGCCAUUUUAUUGACCAGCCAAGAAAGAGAACAAACUAAAACAUUAAGGACAUAAGAGAAAGGCUAGAUACUCUUACUCCCAACAUGUAGAGUUAUUUGAAGAAUAUAUUACUGUAUGAUCGCUGCUAAUGCUAUCUUUAUUUUAAAAAGAUUAAUAUUAGAAGAAUUUCAAAUCAAAGAAAGGCUAAUGCUAUCUUUAUGCAAAUUUUCCUUUCGUCACUUGAUUUUCGUAAAAUUUUAUGUAACAAAUCACAAGUACAAGAAGUUUGGUACUCACAAGCUCCAUUUUAGUCCAUUUCAGUCCAUUUCAGGGUGGAAUAGUCAUUUUAUAAAUAUUCUUACAUCAUAAUCCAACUCGUUUAUACCCUUAGCUAAAUUUAAUCAUUUGUUUCCUUAUCCUUUUUUAUGGACUGGAUUGAGGUGUCCUCUUCCCCGCCUCUUCCUCCUCCCCUUAGGUUUUGUUAGUUUCCGGUUCUGAUAUGACCUCCAACCUUAUUAUUCGUCCAAGUGGUUAAGAAUUUGUGUUUUGUGUUUGGAGGUGUUUUUAGAAAAAAAUUUUAGUUCCAACCUUAUUGAAAAAAGUGCAUACGACGUAAAGAGGUAAUUAAAGAACUGUCUUACAAGAUUUUCAUAACCAAGCAGGAGGCGAGGAAGGUCAAAAGCAUCUUGGAAAUGUACGGUCAAGCAUUAGGGCAGGUGGUAAAUUUCGACAAAUCAGCUAUUUUCUAUAGCAAGAAUACUACUGACCAGAGGAAGAAUGAGGUGAUGGAGAAUUGGGGAACAUUAAAGAGGCAAGGAAUGGAACUUAUUUGGGACUCCCAAUGGCAAUUGGAAGAUCUAAGACAGGUUUUUUGCAUUUGUAAAGAGCAAAAUCAACAACAAGCUGCAAGGUUGGAAACAAAACUACUGAGUCAAGGGGUAAAGAGAUUCUCAUCAAAUCAGUGAUUAUAGACAUGCCAACAUAUGUGAUGGCCUGUUUUAGACUCCAAGAGUUUUGUGCAGACAAAUCACAGGUCAAAUAGCGAGAUUCUGGUGGGGGAAGGGAGAACAAGACACCUGUGUACAUUGGGCUAGUUGGAAGAAGCUAUCACAAGCAUGGUUCGAAGUCUCGGCCGAGACCGAGACGACUCGGCCGAGUCGUCACCGUCUCGGCCCUACGAUACGAUACCGUGACGAACGAUACCGAAAUACUUGACUCGCCGAGAAAUCGGUCGAGUCGUCACGUAACGGAUUGACUCGGCGAGUCACACGAGUCCUCCGAGUUAUCCGAGUCAAGACGAGAAAUCAGCCGAGUCACACCGUGACGGAUUGACUUGGCCGUUUUUUUACUAUUUUUUAAUUAUUUUAUUUAGCAUACUUUUUUAUAUUAUUAAUAAUUUUAGAAUAUUAAAUACUUUAAAAUUUACGUCUCACCGAAACCGCGACCGAUAUGCCGAGACCGAUGUGGAACGUUCCGGGCCGCGACACACCGCGACCGUGACUUUGAACCAUGAUCACAAGUGAAGGAAGAGGGGGAAUAGGUUUUAGAGAUUUAGAGGCUUUCAACUCAGCCUUGCUGGUAAGCAAAUUUGGAGAUUUUAACAGCUCCAAAUUUGCUAGUAAGCAAGGUAAUGAAGGCAAAGUACAUGAAGGACGCAAUUGGAUGGAAAAAAAUCCCUCCACUCAGCUUCAUGGUGUUGGAGAGCAUCCAGAGUGCAACAUCACUGCUGUUAGCUGGACUUUGGAAAAGAAUUGGGACGGCUGGUCUGUGCGUAUAUAGGGUGACAGAUGGAUAGCUUGGUUCAGAAAAUGGCUUUGUAUCAGACACAAAACCUGUGGAAUGCAAGUUGGAAUGGGUAAACGAGCUGAUAGAAGAAGGAAGUGGAAAAACUGAACUUAUCCACAAGUGGUUUAGUACAAAGAUGCUGAGCUCAUCAAAGCCAUCCCAACAAGCAUGGAAGAAGAAAGGAUAAGCUGGUUUGGAGCCAUUCCAAAUCAGGAAUAUACACUGUAAAGACGGGUUAUGCGGUAGCACGACAACAGGAAGUCAAACCAGGUAGUAAGAGAGGUCAUGAUGCAGAGACAAGUUGGGAGAUACGAAAACACAGUGUGUGGAAGAAGUUAUGGCACAUGAAGGUGAAGGCAAAACUAAACAGUUCAUGUGGAAAUGCUUGCAAAACUGUCUACCUGUCAACGAAUUGCUGUCAAAAGCUAGGAAGAGGAGAAGGAAGAUGUGGCUGCUGUGAAGAAGACAUGGAAACCAUUGAGCAUCUGUUUUUCUUCUGUGAAAAUGCAGUGGAAGGAUGGAAGUUGGCACGGUAAGAUGGGAUGGGUUACAUGAAAAACACAGAAUUUUUGGAUUUGGUGGAGAAAGUUACCCAAACGCUUUCAAUGAAUCAAGGUCAAGAUAGAGUAAGUCUCACAUUAUAUCCUCUGGCAAAUCUGGAAAGCCAGGAACAAAAAAAUCUUUGAACAGGCAAACCAGGAUCCAUUCAAAACGGUACGGAAGCACAAGAUGAGUGGUAGAGUUUGAACAGGAAAGGGAGCCAGAACAGAAGGUGAGAGAGGGAGGAUGAACAAAGACAUAUCCACCAAUAGGGAGCGGCCAAGGAAGGAAGAGAUAAAUUGUAUACAGAUGCGGCUAUAUCAGCAAAAAGAGUUAGGACAGGACAAGGGAUAAUAGCAAGGAAUUGGAAAGGAUAGAUAAUGAAAGCUAAAGAAUUGUCAACAGGGGAAGGGGACAGCAAGCAAAGAAGAAGCUCUUGCCAUAAGAAGUGCUCUACUGAUGGCUAAACAGCAGGAUGGACAAAAUUAUAAUCCAUACAGACUGCAAAUCAGUGGUUGAGCAGAUCAAUAGAUGCAGUGAGUAUGACUACAGUACUGCAACUAUCUUAGAAGACGUACAGGAACUUAGUUUAGGCUUUGAAAGAUGUUCUUUUGUGUUUAUCCCUAGAACUGAAAAUCAAAUCAGCCAUGACUAGCACAAUAUGCAGUAAAGCUAAUACAUGAUAUUGACUGGGAGAUGAUUUCCCAAUAUGGCUGACUGACUUAGUUAAGAAGGAUAUGAGGGUAGUAUCCCUUUUUGUAACUAAUCCUUGUAAGGUCAAGUGUUGAUAUCUAUAAAUUGUUAUCGUUUGUUCGAAAAAAAGUAAUCCCUUGUUUCUACGGACUCUAAUAGAUUUCCAUACAAAAUGGGACAAGUGACGUGUAUCAAUACACUCUAUCUAGUUUACCCUGGCAACUAGGGGUCUUAAAAUCGAGUCAACCUCGAAUAGUGCACUACUCGAACUCAACUCGAGAUAAAAAUAAUUGAGCUCGAACUCGUCAAAGCUUUUAGAGGUUGAGGUCAAAUUCGAGCUCGACUUUAGUUUAUCGUACUUGAAUUUGAACUCGAAUUUAAUUAAAUCUAAUCGAGUCAAAUCAACUCAAUCGAGUCUAUUCUAGUGUAAUCGAGAUUAAUUGAAUGUUCAAGUCUAAUCAAUCAUGUAAUAAAAAUUAAUAUUUACGUAUAAUUUUAAUAAAGGAUAUUAUUAAAUUUUACAAUAUAAUAUAAAAAGAUUAAAUAUAUAUAUAUACUCCUUCCGUCCCACUUUGAUAGUCCUGUAUUCCUUUUUCAUCUGUCCAAAUUGUAGUCCACUUUCCAAUUAAAGAAUGUAGUUGUAUUUUAAUUUCCCUAAAAUACCCUUAUUCAAUGUAAGUAGUUGUUACUAUAAACCUACCCGAAAGUUGAUUCGUUUUUUACCAUCAAUUCAAAUUCUCAUAAAGUUGUACCAUAUUUAAUGUGAGGGUAUUUUAAGAAAAUAGCAAUCUAAAUUUACUUUUCCAACAAGUUAACUAUUUUUUCUUAAACUGUGUGAAAAAAGAAACAGAACUAUCAAAGUGGGACGGAGGGAGUAUAUUAUAAUAUUGGAACUUGAGCUCGACUCGUAAACUUAAACAAGAAGCUCAAACUCGAGUUCAAAUUCGGUCAAAAUGAAUUUGAGUCAAACUGUUGACCCAAUAGCUGGCGAGCUCGAGUCGAGUUACUUGACUCAGCGUCUGCGUCACCCUACUUGCAACAACGCACCUCCUAUAGAAUUGUUGGUAUAUCCAUGCAUUCUUUGCAGUCCUCUCCCUAUUUUUCAAUGACGAAACACUGAAACAGAUAAUCCGAUUUUUUAUCUUGAAUUUCAAGAUCACAACUAACUUUUAAGAUGCCAACAACAAUAGACAAGAUUCAGUUUUCUUACUUGGGUGUGUUUAGAUUGAAAUGUUUUGAGAUAAAAUAAUUUGUUUCACAAAUUCUAAUAAUCUUUUUAUCAUCUCAAUCACCUUUUUAUUUCACAUACAUCAUAUCAUAAAAAAUGCUCCAGUAAUUAUUUCAAAUAAAUCAUCCAAAUAAACUCUUAUCCAAACAAACUCAAAUUGCCUUAUCUACAACAAGGAAUCUUGAAGUUUUAAUUGAAAAAAUGCAGGUCCUCAAAGGAAAGAGAAACAAACAAUUGACUUCCGGAAAAAUGGCACAGCCAAAACAGUGAUGACCUCUGUCUUACUGGUCAUCAAUAAGCAGAAUACACGAACGCUAGGAAUCUGGUAAGCACCAUAUUCUGUGGUCAUGUAUCCAUCCUUGGCAAAAAAUUUACAAGCACGGAUUUUAAACUUCACCGCGGCUCAUACGCAAGAAUAGAGGUAGGAGGAAAAAACCAUAUAAAAUAUAUCAAACAGAACAUAAGGUUUUUGCACCACCGCAAAACUUCAGAGUCUUAAUUUUCAACACGGAGAAAGGCUUGGGGAUUAUCAAUUAAUUGCAUAGAGUGAGCAAAAUGCAAAAGCAGGGGAGCUAACUGAACUGUAGGAAUGGAAUUUAAUAACUAGUACUUCCAUCAGUAAAAAAUACAAGUUCAAGAUCACUAAUCAAAGU
rnacentral:lncRNA from 1 species